rnacentral:lncRNA from 1 species
UUUGAUUUUCCUAAAUAAAUCUAACAAAGAAUGAAAAAAAAAAAAAAAAAAAAAAAGUAUACUGGGAAGGGACCAAAAUGACACACCAACUGCAGCUGUCACCAGCCCCAUUGGUUUUUAAUGGUAAAGCAGAAGAUGGCACUUUCUUUCAUUCAUGAUAACAAAUAAUAGUGGCCAUUAGGCCUUCAAUUCUCCAUGCCAAUGCCAGUCUCAUCUUCUGUUUAUUUUAAGUAAAAAAAGGAUUAGGUGAGUGUCCAAUGGUUGGUUUGUGGUGGGCACUCACUUUGACAGUCGUUGUUGGUUGUCGAUGAGGUGUCGAAAGAAAGAAAGAAAAAGAGCCAUGGGAAGAGCUCUUCUAAUUGGAUUGCAGACCAAACUAAAAGGUGGUUGGUUGUACACCAGCAGAAUCAUUUUGGUGAUCGAGAUGGUUUUACUACUAAUUUACUUACAUACAGGUUAGUCACUGUAAUGAUUGCUUCAUUGUGUAGCAAAAGUCCACACUUUCCGUUCAUGAGAAGAGGGGAACACUGACUGACUGACUGACUGACUGACUGACUGACUGACUGCAUCGUCAUGCCCUCCGACAUCCCACGCAUCGGAAACUAGUACGGCACCGUCUUUAUUACCGCGAAGAUGCCUUUCUCCUCAGCCCCCCUUUCCUUUCCUUUCCUUUCCUUUCGGGCUGGCAGAGCAACAAAGAUGGGGAUGCCAUGGCAUCGUCCUCCUCCAAUCUUCAAGCUCGAAAUGCUGGAGGGCCUCCACCUCAUCACCCUUUCGGCUAUCAGGUCGGUCACCACCACAUGCGGUGCUGGUAAAGAGGCACCACCGAUCGCCAUGUCCUAUCGCCAGCUUUUGUCCUCGGUCUCAGGCACAAGCGCGGCUUCUCAUCAUAACUUUCAACCGAAUGGUGCUGCCAUCGGAUGCAAAUUUUACCAUCUCAUAGGGUUUUACUAAUUUGUGUCGUCAUUAAAGAGGAGAAAGUGAAUCGGCAAGUCUCUUUUCCUCUGUCUCACAACCAUCCCGACCACACUACCCAUAUCAUUCAUCAGCGAUACAGCCAACUCACAUUUCAAGAACAGAGACAAGGAGGACGCUUAGAAUUUCCAGCGAUCAAACCCAAAUCACAGACCAGCAAUCCAUCAAAAGCACAAUAAAAAGUUCACCAACAAAUCAAGAACAUCAAUGACAAACAAAAAAAAAAACAAAUGAAAACAAGCAGAACAAUCAAUAAUAAUAAUGCAUCGAUCUCAGCAACCACCAAAGUGUCAUCAUAUCUACAGGCUCACACCAGACUCCCAUCAUAAUUUAUAUAUCACCACCAUCGCCAUCAAUAUUACUGAAACAAAAACCCUAACGACGACCCGUGAACCGAGACCACGCAGCAGAUCCCUCAAUGGCGGAGGGAUCCCAGGAGGAGGGCGACGGAGGAUGCGAGCAGGGCGAUGGCUAGCGGCGGGGAGAGGCCGCCGGCGGCGGAGGUGGGGCUCGGGGCCGGAGCAUCGGCGGCGACAGCUCCUCCGGCCAGGAAGGCGGCGGCAACCACGGCAGCGAGGAAAACCGCGAGGGAUUUGCCUUCUAAGCCCGCCAUUGCCAGAUGAAGCUCUAUUUCUUGAGAUAGGGUUUCGAGCGGGGCGGGGGGCGAGACGGAGGAGCGUAAGCUAGUCCGAGAAACAGGGUCGGCGUUGAUGGAUGGGUGGGGGGACUAUUUAUAGCCAAGAGGAGUCAGGUAGCGGAGCGGGUGGCUGCCCGAUCCGAUCCGAUCCGAUCCGAUCCGACAGCUGGCGACAGCUGUACUUUAUCGGUGGCUAAUAUGGUUCUUUAUUUAAUGAAAUACCCACCAAAACUGGUGCAGCACAUCAACAUUAUUUUCCGCAUAAUUGGAAGCCGAUAAUGCGACAGCUCUCAUCGCAUCGCAUCGCAUCGUGUGAACAGCUGGGGGUGGGGGGCCGACGGACGGACGACAGGCAGAGGGAAGUGAAGUGUGUUGUAAGAUCAUUCGUUUCUACGUGCUGAGAGAUUCUUGGGUCGGUCGGUCAUGCAGGAAAAAGGGUCCAAACGCCACGAACACCAAUUUGUUGAAGAUGAAUUGGGUGGAACGAGACAUGUAUGUGAUUUGUUUUGUGUGUGUAAAUGGUUUUCAUGCAAGGAAAAGGCGGCGGCUGCCAUCUCCUGCAACGAGGACUGUUCCCCCCUGAAUCAUUCACGAUGGAUGAUGGCCCAAUAAUUUCUUAGGCUCACUGUGUACAUACGUACGUACACUGUAGAUUUCACAUAAGUGAGCUGGAGGGAGGGCUGAGCAAAGCGUUGGCAAGGGUAAUGGACACCUCCUCCUCUCUUAGCAAAGUUGUGUUUGUGCAUGUGAAACGACGACUGCGGCUUUCUCUGUUCCUUCCUUCCUCCAGUGGGCGGCAUGCAGUGUUUGUUCAUGGAUGACCGAUUCAUUCAUGAUAUUCGCGCGCAUGCACACACACACACGAUGCUACAGAACAAAAAAAUUGAUAGCAGAUAAGAUUUUUUCAACUAUACGAGGAAAUCUCUCUAUUCUGUUAACUAAAGCUUCGAAGAAGAACCCAUCGGAAAAUCUGACAAAAAAUUACCUUCGUCCUCAGAAACUCGAUGCCGCAACUUGCACCGGAAGAAGCCAUGAUUUGCAACAGUAUAAGAGAGAAAGAAAGAAAGAAAGACAUGGGUGGAUGGAGAAUGCCUCUGAUACUAUGUGUAAAGCACCGAUCGGUCACCGUCACCUCGCACGAUUCCUCCCUUUGCACCAUGUGAUGCAAGAUUCCAGCCACGACAGCAUCUAUGCUCUUCGGGCUACAGAACACGAGAGGAGGUUCAAGUGUCAUCGAGUAAAGUAGGAUGCGAUGGUGGCUUUGGAAGAAGGCUGCUUUCUCUUUCCUGGACCCUCUGCUGAUGGUCAUCAUGCGCUUGGCAACCACUGCGUGUUUGACGAUGGCCUCACUAUUAUGGGCUUCUGGCACAUUGUUGUAGUCACUGUGCUUGUGUCCUUGUCCCUGCCGAUGCUGACGGCAAGAGUCUGCACACGGUGGCAUGCCUUACGAGCUGAUUGCUCCCGUGACCCACCAGCAAAUCCUUGCCUAACGAUCCCUACUCGAAUCACUGAAAUCAAUAGCAUUCGAAGCAUUUUUCUUUUUCUUUUUUUUUUGGCAAUAAAAAGCUAUUCAAUUAAUCAGCUGGGACAAUAAUUAGUCCCCAAAAAUACAUCGAUCACCAAAAAAAACACUUGCCUGAAUGGCAUGAGAAAGGGAGGGCUACAAAAUUGACUGACAUCCACAGAAUCAGCCAGCAUUAUUGAUGUCUUUACAGACAUUGCGUAAAUACCAAGGAGGAGAUGUCGUUCUAUUACAUACAAAUCAUCACGGCUUCCAGGCAAUCUGAUUUGAAGCAUAUGUCACCUGCUCCUCAACCUCCUGCAGAGAUAACACAUUUGACAGAGGAAGACUAGUAGCCAAGCUGGGAAUAAAAAAAGUUUAAAAACAUGAGCCGUGCAGCUCAAGCUGGCCGACCACGACCUGACCAUCCAGCAAUCUAAUUCAAUACCCAUAGCAUCUCUUCAAUCCGGAUAGUUUCAUUAACCAAAAAAAGAAAUAACAAAGUCGAAUAGAGAAAGAAUUGCAGAUCCUAUAUCCGCAUUUUCUAGUGUUAUAACACGACUGCUGUGAGCAUGUUUCUCUUUGCACAAGGGUUAGAUCCAUAAAAAAUUUCACUAGUUGCUCCUACUUUCCUUUUACUCUUCACCUCAUCUUUUAACAGGAUGAAACAUCCGUACCCUAGACUUCGAACAACUCAUGUGUAUCACCACCCUCUUAUAUGACUUUGAUCUCUUGGUUAUUCUUUCGUUGUUCGCUCAGCCUCCUUAUCUGCUAUUCCGAGUCACUUUCCAUGUUUCCCAUCGCCUUUAAACCCCGUGGCUUCUGUGAAACAAGAAAAGAUAAGAACAGGUUUGAAGAUGCUGCAUUUAUCUAUUAAAUAAAUCAUUGCUCAUUUAUCUAAAUUCUCUAUUUGCUAGCAUUAUGUUAAGAGAAAUUACAAACCUUCUUUGAGAUCUUCUUUUCUCGGACUUCAUACCGGUCUAAGGUCAGAUCACAAAGCCAUGCCCCCGGGCUCACCAGCUUUUUCAGAAAAUGUGCAAAAGAAUUUAAUGUCAAGAACUAAAAAUAUGAGAAAAGACAAUCAAAGAACAAAAUAUGUAGCCUUCAAGUUAUACUACCAAAGUGUUGAGACUAUCAGUGUAAUACCCACCACGUAGAAUCUUAAUCAUAAUAGUAAGAGGUGCUUCGACUGUCACUAUGGUAUUUUAUAUUGAGGAGUAAUUGUUUGUGUUUCUAAGUUUAUACAAAUAAGCAAAUCUGUGAAGAUAAAGGAAUGCAUCAUGGGCUCUACAUGUUGCAUCCAGAGGAAAAAGCUCAAGUAUGACGGGAUGAUGCAUCUGAACAACAUCAAUGCAUACAAGUUGUUCAUCCUUGCCUUUACCGAUUUGGAACGGACAUAUACAGUACAUAAAGAAAUUAAAAAAAAAAAGAGAAUGGAUUUCAGUUGGCGAAGGACUUGUGGCCUAUAUGAUAGAUCUGGAAAGAAGUGCUAAAUUAAUGGAUCUCUAGCUAGUGGCAAAAGAUUGUCAAGGGUUGCACUCGAGUGAGAGAAUUGCUUUCAAGUAUGGGCCAUGGGUCAUCAGAGCCUCCUACAUUCGAACACAGCCUGGAAAACAGAACACAUCUAAAAGACACUGACUUCAGUUGACUCAGAGACAUCACACGAAAGACCGGUUACACCACAGCCCAGUUGUGCACCUGCUUGCCAAAUGAAUCAUACUUUCUUUUAACUAAUUAAAUGUGUUAAAUAAUCAUUAUUAAACUGGAACAGACAAGCACAUACUAACAAUUACCAAAGGUACGCAGUUUUACGCAAUGUCCCUUCAUGGCAACAUGGUAUGCAACCUGUUAGAGCCACAUUGCUGAUGAGAUACCAGAGGGUCACAAGAACUUAUCCAAAUCUGUCUGUCCAAAACUUCACCAUUGUCCAUUGUUAUUCAAAAAAAGGAACCACCUUGCUACACUCUCAUGAAUUCUGAUAAUAUGAAACUAAAAUGAGAAAUAUUCUCUGGCAUAUAUGCACACUACCAUAAAAAGAGAACAAUGCUUCCCAGUAUCCAUUUUUCCUCCGUACUCAGAUUCCUUUCUGUUUCCAAGAGAUUGAAGCAAUUCUUGUCUGUAAAUCAAAUUAUACAAAAGCGUGGCAUAUAUUCAAAGCUUGUAACAUGAUUCUCAAACUUUUUAUAGUUCCAACCUCAACCAAUGCAAGCAAUGGGAGGAAUUGAAAUUUCUCGUUUUUUAAAUAAAUAGAGCCUUUUAGGUUUGGAUGAAUCCAAAGAUCUGCAGGAAAAAACCUUUAAAAGAAAAGACUGGCAUUUACUGUUUCCAGCGAAGCUAAUGGCCUUACAGCAAUAUGAAAGUGUCUUAAAAACUCAUGCUGAAUGCUCUAAAAGAAGCGUCCAAUGUAGGUGACUAAUUAAAGGCAAAAAUAAGCUAAAAACUUAUGAGUCCCCAUGAUAACAUUUACAUCUUCAAAUUUUGAUAAUUAUGCAUUCCCAGUAUUAAAUAAAGCCAAAGGAGAAAUAUUUUAGGAAAAGGAAUCAAGACAACUAAAUGUGUAUACUCUACAAGCACAGAAUAUGCACCAUGAGAUAACUGAGAUAGAACGAUAAAUGAAUGUUUAGGACCUUUAGGUAUUCCUUUCUUGAAAGAGUGGAACUUUUUUAUGGGCAACAUAAAAAAGUUAAUAAAGUUUUGUUUAGCUCCUAAUCUGCAUUGCAAUACAAGACUACAACCAAAAGACAAAAAGGGAUAUGAGAAAAGAGUGAAUUCAUAAAUGUUGUUACACAUUCUACAAGCAUCGGCCAACUACUUGUAUUAUGUUAUUUCAGUUAGCUCCUAAUCUGCAAUACCAGUCAUUGCUUAUCCUUAGAUUUACCCAUUUUGGGGACUGUGCACAUAUUGUAUACAAAGACAUCCUAGAAAAAUGGAGAGAACUAACUUUACCCAGCUGAGGACUUUGUGAGACUAUAAUAAAUCUAGAUCAAAGAGCUAAGUUGAUGGGCCUUCAUUUCACCACAAAAGAUUGGCGGUGAUUUUAGCCAAAUGAGAGAAGCUCAUGCCUUUAGCGUAUGGACCAUGGGUCACUAGAGCUUACAACAUUCUAAUAUAGCCAAGGAAACAAAACACAUCUAUAAUACACUUCAUGUAUUUGAUUUAGAUAAGCUGCAAGGAAGAUUGGUGCCAUCACGGACCAAUCAUGCACCAAAACUUGCCGAUUAAAUCAUACUGUUCUUACCAAUUAGAUGUGCUAAACAAAAAUGAUUAAACUGUCAUGGAGAACAGACUAGCAAUUUUUAAACAAGGUACAGUUGAACCAACUUUUUUUUGUUCAAAAAUUUGCCAAUAUUAUUUGAAAACACACACACACUGCUACAGUUGCAUGAUUUCAAAAUUUUUCCAUUUGUCAUUUUAAACUAUGAUGAGGAGAAGUAGCUUUUCUGCAAAUGCACACUAUCAUAAAAAGAUAACAAUGGUUCCUAUUUUCCACUUCCCCUUGUAUUCUGAUUCCUUUCUCUUGGAAAGAGAAAGGAUCAAUCCUCACCACUUUCAUGCAUAAAGUCAUCUUGGCUUCACAGCCAAUCCACAUAUAUUCACCAGCUUCGAACAACAUCCUCGCACUUUUAAAAGUUCCAACCCUUGAACAACGAAAGCAAUGGGAGCGAUUGAAGCACUUUUUUUUUUGUUAUAUAGUGAUAGGGUAAUAUGGAGAAAUCCACAUCUCUUUGAUAAAAGAAGACCUUAAAAAGAAAAGAAUGGCAUAUGACAAAAGAGUGCAUUUGAAAAUGGAUUUACAUACUCUUCAAGCAUUGGCCUAAAUACCGUAUUAUAUUAUGCACUGUAUUACUUGUUGGUAUCUUUGUUUUCUAUUUCAAAUCCUUAAUCACUGCUCUGCUCAUCCACUAAACUUUAAAUUCUCUAUGGAGAACAUGAUUUCUCCCAAUAAUGCACAUCAGCUAUCAUAUAGAUGUAUAAUAGUCCAGAAGCUCGCCCAGAGAGGCGAUGAACGACUAUGAACAUCACUAGAAGCUCUCUCCCGUACUGUCAAAAUGGGAAAAAAGAAUCCCGGAUAAAUUAACAAGUCAAUUUUCCAAUGCUCUCGUCCCCACCCACUCUCAUGGGCCUUUCACGAAGUCAAAACCUUGGCACGUUUACCAAACCACCUAAAUUUUCCGCCCAACGCUCACUGUUCAGUCUAAAGACAGAUAACUACCACUCCCAUGUCAUACCAAUGAUAACGAAAAAUUCUUUUCUUGCGCUUGGCACCAACUACCCGUGUGCGUAUGAGACAAGAAGUGGGCUCCAUGUCGUACUACAAAUGACAUUGCAGGUAGGAGAAUGGGUAAGUCAUAAUCUUUUAGAAAAGCUGAAAAAGUUUCCAUCUUUCCUUUCCCAACAGAAUCCUCUUUAUAAGAAAACUCUAAGUAUUGUAUUGCCCUAUACGUAUUAUAUAAGAGUAAUUGAUUUGCUCGACACCAAAAAGUUAGUAACGAUGGGGAGAAGAAGAGUGGCGAGCUUACGUUGAUGGUCCGCUGAAGGAGCUUGGCCCGCUUCUUGGGGCGCUGGGGAAGUUUGGAACCCUUGAAGACCAAAAAGUCCUCUUCCUUCUCCUUGUUCGUCAGCGACAGAGCCAGCUUAGGCCACGCUGCCGCCUUCUGAGCCCCAUCCAUCGACGCCGAUCCCCCGGCUUCCACGCCCCUCUCCCUCUCCCUCUCCGGCGAUGUCACUCCACGUUUGCCUCUGAUAGCAGCUGCCUCUGUCGCCUCCAAAUUAUUCCUAAUUAGAAAAAGGAGAGAACAGAAACAUGUGUUAACGAAGCAAUAAAGUGAUCGACCAACCUGACGGACAGGUAUUGCAUACGAAAGCCUAUUGUCCCUGCCUGACUGCUGUCGGCUUAUUCUGGGAGAAGGUUGAGGAAUUGCCGAUGUGGGGGGAAAUGCCGGUGGUCCCGUGAGAGAGAGAGAGACAGGGAGGAAGGAGUGUUUAAACGUGACCCAUUGAUUGUAGGCUUGCCCUCCUGCAUCCUUGACAUGAGAUGCAGGUGGAACGAUGGUGCAUGCACGUACAGCGUUAACCAAUCAGACGGCACCGGCUGGCUCACUCACCCAGGCCCAUCUGUGACAAGUGGCCGGGCAGGUGCUACUGCCAGUAGCGUGGCUUGCGUGGUUGGCACGGCAGGGAUUCUUGUGCCGACGCAUGGAAAUUAAAUAAAAAUAUGAUUGUCACUUGAGUUUUUUUUUUUUUUUAAUUUUAACAUCGAAAUUUUCUUAAAUGUUUUUUGUCUUUUAUUACUUCCCGUAUCAUAUGAAUCUACAAGGAAAUUAGGAUACUGAUUGGGAAGCUUGGACCGGGAAGAACAGCAAAAGACCCGGUCGUCGCUGUCCCGUCCCGAGAAACAGAUCUGGGACACGGAAGAAAAGUAUGAUUAGCCGUGGGUUCUCUCACGUGCCAGCGGCACGUGAGUCGCCUUCCGCCCUCGCGGUUGGGUUGCGACAAGCAAUAGAUGACGGCAAGACAAGACGUGCCACCGAAGGGCACGGUAGUGUUUCCCAUCCGAAACACAGCGGGGAAUGACCCACCACGGAGAUAAGAGGCCACUGUAAUAUCAAAUAGAUAUCUCUGAAGAUUUCAAAUGCUAAACGAGACGGGAGGGAGAAGGGUACCUGAGCGCCUGUUUGUAGGGGGCCGAGGUGGCUCUUCGAAGAGCACGGUCGGCGCGAGCGGCGGCUGCAGUGGUAGCGGUAGGCUGGUUGCCGGUGGCGGCAUCGUUGUCCUUGUGCUGGAACUUGAUGCACCGUAGCCGCUUACGGCUCCCCCACUGCAACAGCAACUCCGGCGGCGUCGGUAGACUCUCGUUGUGGUUGCUGCUAUUAGGUAAUGCUUCAACUGCUCCUCCGCCUCUUCCCGUGCCUCGCACGCGGUGAUGAUUCCCAGUUGGCUUGCUUUCCAUCUCCUGCACGUGCCAACCAUGUACCCAUGAGCAUCAUUCUCCCGUUUCCUUCGCAUUUGGAUUUAGAGGGAAGGCGAAGGAAGACGAUGACUGCUCGUUUAGAUGAUUAACAUGUAGAAAUAAAGAAUGAACGAUUGCAAAGGGAGGAGGAGAAGAAAGAUGAGAUACGAGGAAAAUCCAAUAAAAAACAUGACCUUUAAGUACAUUCUUACAUGUCCUCUUAUUCGAUCGAGUAAUACAUCCGAACAUUCAUGUUUGAUCCUUCCCCAUCAAUAUUAGAAACGUGAUUAAUUGAACCUAUGACAGCGAACAAAGAGAGAGAGAGAGAGAGAGAGAGAGAGAGAGAGGAAACACGACCUGUAAUAACAGAGUACAUCAAAUGAACUAAUUCGAAGAAAAAGAAUUGCCAAUGAACUGGGAUGCAUAAUAAUAGUCAAGGAUCACUGCCACCAUUGACAUUUCUUGAUCUUCUUCUGUUUCGAUUCUACAGUAAAAAACUGACUUAGAAAACAGAGGAGAAAAUUAGAGAAAUGAUACAAAAGAAACAAAUAAGAUAUCUUAGUGGGUUCAGCGGCAAGAGAAGAAGUUUAGACACUUCAGCAGCAAAUUGGUCCGAAUUGUUUUACCAUAAUCAGUUAACAAUGAGAGAACAAGGGAUAGCUUUCGUUCAAGGAAUAGAGACGGAAGAUGAAGAGAAACCGCUUCCUCUUUUGUCCCAAAAUAAUCACAGAAAUGAAAGAACAACCAAAAUUUGUUGAAAAGGACAUGGCUACAUGUCAAAAGACAGAUUUCAAUCGUCUAUAAGUAUUCAGGUUUGUGCACGGAAAAAAAAAAAGAUCAUACCUUUGAUUCAAGCUGAUGAACAUUGAUCCACUCUGAUCCAAUUGUAAUUAAGACUCCAAACAGGUCUAAAGGAAAAUCAGUUCGAAAAGGGAAAUAGGAAGGAGAUCACAGCAUUAAUGAUCUUGAAAGGGUCGUCCCUGGGAGGUCUUGGAUCCUACUUGCAAGAAAACCCGAAGAACAUGUCAAGUUUCAGAAUCCAAUCCUCUGAAUAAUGAUCAGAUUUCGCCGGUUCACAAUGGGAUUUCACCAAAUUUGAUUGAAUAAGACGACAGAUCGUUGGGAGCAUACGAUUGAACAAAGGAAUGCCGACUGAGGUUUGGAGAACACGCAUCUGUUUAAGUUAUGGAAAGAUCACAUACUUUGCUGGUUGAUAACAGAACGGCGUAGUAGUACUCAGAGAGCCUUGAAUCAAAACGGAGGACUCGCCUUCAUCAGAACAUCAGCAUCGUACGACCCUCAAGAUCAAGUCCUGCAAUCUCCUCCUCAGUUGGUCCCGGGAACUCUGGAAAUCAAGAACAGAUUAGGAAUCAGGAGAACUCAUCCAGCAAUUUCUAAUAAAACCAAGCAGUGACGAAAUGCAUACCUUCAAAGGCUACAAAUAUUUUCAAAUCCGUCGAUCAAUCCUAAUCCCAAUGGAAUUUAACAGCAGAAAUUUACUCCAAACAAUCGAAGAAGGAAAAUCGGAGGAAGAACCGCAGUAUCCAGAUUUCUUUUCCUCUGGAAUCGUCUUCUUUUACUCUUCAAGAAGAACAAGAGGGAGAAGUGAGCGAUCGAAACUGCGAGCUUUGAUCGACGAAAUGCUGCCUUUCUCUUUCUCCCUCUCUCUCUUUCUCUCUCUCUCUCUCUCUCUCUCCCCUGAUCAGGCGUCUUAUACGCCCGCUUGUGCUUUGUGGCUUCUCCCGUUCAAUAAAACGGGAUCACCGGGUUCGGCUUCGAGUCUCUCUCUCUCUCUCUUCCUUUGAUCCUGCGAUGAACGAUCAGCGAAGCUCUUCUGGUUAUGUGAUGAUUCCCGUUACGCUGCUCCGUUUUAUUCUUCUCCAUGCCGUGCGAGCAGUGUUAAUGCGGUCUAAGUUGACGGCGUCAUGUUAACAUCCUGCUACUUAUUUUCCCGUCUGGGUAAUGAGUUGGGCCCCACCGUCAGAUGCUUCGUUCUCUACCCUUUGUUCGCUAUUGGACGGAUCGGAUUGGCACACAGGAAACAGCCCUGGAUUUUGUUCGGUGGGACCCUUGCAUUCUGGAAACUUCAACCUCCUCUUUCCUUCCCAUACCAAUAAAAAUAAUUAAUAAAUCGUCGCCAUUGUCUAUUCGUUCCGUUCCCGGCUCGCUCUCAGCUCCAUUUGGUUUGCUGCCCUUUCUGGGUGAAAUCGUAAGAAACGAUUGUUAAUUUUGGAACCAAGGAUUCCUUUUUUUUUUUGCUACGCUUAUCAUUGAUCUCAUUUUCCUUGAUAUUUUUGUCCACGCGUUUGUUCCAUUCCUAAAUGGCUUGCGAUCGGUCGAUCUAAGAUUAGGGUUUCACUUCCCGUUCUUCAUUUUGCAUCUUGCUAAAAUCUACCUCGUUUUUGUGAAUUUUUGUCUGUGCAGAUUUAACGAGGGCACUGCCCUGAGAAUCUUUUGUACGAUCUACCAUUAUUUUUUUUUUUUAUUUUAAUACAAGUUGUAGAUUUAAAAGAUCAUUGACUUCCAAAGUCACCUUCUAAGUUUAGGGUUUUGGAAUGAGAAAUGGAUUUGCUGUAAUUUGUGGACUCAACUUCUACGCUGGACUUAAUUAGAUCAAUAAAUUAGUCCUUAUUUUGGCAACCGAACCCUGCUUCGAGUGGAAAUGUGAAUGAAAGAAUUAGGAAAGAACAAGUAAUAUCAACAAUGGGCAAAGUAGUUCAAAAGCUACGAGCGCCACUACUGUGAGAUCUCGGCAUCUCUGUCGCGCGAGUGUACAUCGACUGCUUCUCUGUGUGGAGGUAAGAUGCAGUGGCAUGCCUUGUAAUUGAGAUUUAUUCUUAUGGUAAUCUAUUUAUUUGUGUGCUCUACAGAGCAGAAGAAGUAGAAAGUUUGUGAGAUUAAAGUUUAAACCUGGACUCGAUGAUGCAGAACUUUUGGUAAUAUUUGGACCUGGCCCUUUUUCUGGGUUCCUCAGUCGGAGAUUACCGGUGGUCUUACUUGAUAUUAUCGUGAUUAGGAGCUAGGCUGUUGCCCCCUCUCAUAAUUUGCAUAUGCUUUGGAUAAACUUGAUCAUAAAUUGGUUGUUGGGUGGUUGGUGCUACUUUACAAAAUUGGCAUUGGAUAGCCUCUCACUCUGUAUCUCCAACAUUAUAUGCCUGAAAACUUGUGGAGUGCGACGAUAAGUUUGAUCUCCAUAUCUGUUCCUAUAUCCAUCUUACCUUUGUUUUUCAAAGAUCAUAUAUUGUUUAGACAUUGUUUCUGUUUUUUAAUUCAGUCGGUCCUUAGGAUCCCUGGUGUGUUUCCGUGGUUGAUCAGUUUACAGGAUAUUUGAAUAAGAGUAUAUAUUUUUUGAUUGCUAACAGACUUUCAGUGAAAAAGAAACUCACCUUGUUUACGGUGCAUGAAUCUUAUUACUAUCUACAGGAAGGCAAGUGUUUUUGCUAUUUAUCUUUUCACCAUGUGAAUCAGGAUGACAAUUUUAAUUUCUUGUACUUAAGUCCCUGGAAUACAAUUCUUCUUUCUUGUACUGGAUGGAUCUAAAAUUAUAACACAAAGUGGAACUGAUAUAUGAAGCAAUACAGGAAGGGGAAUCAUGGAAAAUUCUUUAGGACGUCCUAAAAUGGUAGAUGAGAACCACUAUCAUAAAAUGGAUUGUUGAAUGUAACUAGUGACUUGAACUGAGAAUAUCUAAGAAAGCUUCUGAUGCAGAAGUAAAAUGUUCCACAAAAAGUAAAACCCAAGACAGGAACUCACAACAGUAUCAUGCCUUAGGAAAUCAAGUCAUAAUUUGUUUGAAUAAAACGUCAGCAAUAUGGACCUUCAAAAUUUGGAGUGUUAUUGUUGUUGCUUAUGAGAUAUUUAAGGUAGUUAUUUAUUCAUUGAUUUUUCAGUAACUAGUGCUUUUUAACAUAGUAUGUGUGUUUCAUUGGAUUAUGCCAUGUCAUAGAUCUCUGCUGAUCAAAGAUGAAAGCUGCUGAUGUCAACAGAGAGAUUAAACCAAUCUACUAAAAGUAGAUUGGUUAAAGGAGAGCAGAACAAUAUUGGGUGCAGAAACACUUGGUGUCUCAACUCGGCAAGACUUGCACCAACAGCAUCAAUCUCUCUUGCAUGCUUAUAAUGCAGUAUGUUCUCGUGCCAACCAUCUUAUAUUUUCUGUAUAAUGUUUCAUUUGUACUCACAGCACUUGAUCUCUCAUCUUUUAUCACUCAUUUUCUUAGUAGUCCUAUCUUAUGGAUGUUAACCUUUGGGAUCAUGCCAAUUGUGCCAUCUAAUAGAGGAAAUAUGUAAUAAGGUAAGAGAUUUUGACUCAGUGUUUUAUUUCCUUAUGGACUCAUAAAGUUAUGAGUUCCACACUCGCUUUGCCAAUAAUCAAUUAGUUAACAAAAAGUUAGGUAGCAAUGUCAUGAUCUUUUGGCAAGAGUUUAAUAGGAUAGUGUUGGAAAGGCAAUCUAACCACAUCAAAUGGGUUGAUUGGCCUUGGGAAGAGCAUUUGACCAAAUCAAAGGACCUGUGUCUGAACGAGUGUUUGAAACUGUGUUUAUAAAUUAUCCUUUAAAGUUACAAAUGGGUGCAAGAGUUGUAGUAUUAUGAAUAGGCUGAAGCUUUGUUUGCCAGAUUUCAAGUAAAAAAAUUAUUGGUUUCAAGCAAUUCUCUUAGAUCCUCUUGCAAAUAUUUUGUAGAGAUUGUUUAAAAAAUGUUAGUGGUCUAUUGAAGACAUCUGUAUGGGAACCAAUGACAACAUAGCAACAGCUGAUAUCUGGGGGCACAUACUGGAACUUCUGUUACAUACAAACAACUUCAAUACUUAUAUUAGAGAAUAAUCACAUAAUUUGCAAUUAGUUAAUCACUCUGGUCCAGAUUAGUAAAAUUGUAAGUUUCAUCAACUCCUCUUCCACCUCACUUUGGUUAUCUGGGAUCUUCUCCCUUGGGAAUACUAUUUUUUUGUGGCUGUAUUUUAUAAUCACAAUUUUAGUUUAGGCUACCUUCUGGAUGGUGAUCCCAAGAAGCAAAAUUCGGUACACAGAGGAAGUUUUGACUCGAUCAAGCGGGGAUCAUGUUAUCUUUAUGGUCCAGAUGAAGUAAGAGGGGGAUUGGACUGACGCAAUCAGCUUAGAGUUUGCAGAACUGCUAUUGGCAGACUUGAUCGAGAGUGAUGUUGUUCACUUGGGUAAUCAAAGAGUACAUGUCGCUAUGGAAGCAAUGAAAGCUUUUCUUACCAACUGUUUGGCACAAUAUGGAAUUGGUUUGUCCAUCCUACUUUCUCAACGGCGAAGUUCUCUUUCAGAUAAGCCAAAGAUCUUAUGGCUCACAUUGUUUAUGACCACAAUUGAUUUUUCUUACCUUCUUUACUAAUACAUUUAACCAGAGUACUUUUUCAUAACUCGUCAACAAACUAGAUUCCUGCACCAAACACAAAAAGUAAAAAAUAAAAAUAGGAAACAUUUCAAGGGAUUGUUUCAUCUGCUGAAUUCACAUAUGUUUGGUUUGAUUGAUUGUAUCUAUUGAAACUGAAUACAAGAUGCAUCUCAGAUAUGAUAUAAUUUUUCUAUUAAGAUUACUGCUUUUUGUAUGCAUUCCAUCAAAUGUAGCCUGAUGCUGCAUGAUUGCACUAUCUUAGGCAGUAGGUUAAAAGACAGAAUCUGCAAAGUGUUUGCUCUAGCCACAAGAAAAGUGGUGGCUUUCAAGUUUUGAUUUCAUUUCUGCUCGUCUGUUUUUCCACUAAAUGGAGUAUUGAAUUGAUAUUUUUGAGCUUGAUUUGAAUUGCAGCUACAUGGAGUGGCUGAUAACAUUGGUAAGAGUAGGAAAUUCCCCACUGGCAUGUCGAAAAGAAUGGAUAGGAGCAAGUGGGCAAUCAAUAGCAUCGACAUUGUGCUGGUUUUGGACAAUUUGUUGAUCCUGUAGGUUGAGCUCACCCAUUAAGAAUUACUGCAAAUUUUGUUAAUUUAGUCUUCCAAUUCAUUACAUACUCGAGUGCUCUAUGUGGAUGGUUAUCAACUUUUUCAUGGAAAACGCUGCUUCGGUUUUUGAGUGUAGAUAUACAAAGUGUAUAUAGUGGUAUUCUUAAACUUUGCACACAAACAUAAUAAACCCUUUCAAUGAUUAAUUGAAUCCAGGAUAAGAAUUAUUAGUAUGCCAAAAAUGUCUAUGUUGGCCCCCCUCCAAGUAUGGUUAUGUUGCUCCUUGUGGGCCAGACGAAAGAGGGGAGGAUCACCCUUCUGGGAUUCUUUCGAUAUAUAUGACCUGUUUAUGAGGUCUUUGUCAUCCAACUUCGCGUGUCAAUGCAAGAAGUAAAAAGGGGCCACAUAUUAUUGCACAGAAGUCAUUUUCUGUGGCAUCGAGGUAAGAAAGCUUCUAAAGAGCCGUCAGCAUCCAACGCUAAUAACUAAAGGUGUCAGACUGUGAGUCUGUAUUAUUAUUAUUAUUAUUAUUAUUAUUUACAAAAGAUAAAUAGCGAAGAUGAAAUUUAAAUUCAAUAUCGUAAAAUUAAUGGCUCAUCUUUGACCUCCCCACGCCUAUAAAUCGAUUUCUUACCUUCCAUUCGUAAACCCUAAUUCCUGGAAUUUCUGGAAUCCCACCUGCGCCACCUCGUAACCCUCGAAGAAGCCCAGACCCGUUCCGUGUCGUCGAGACGCGACUCCCCUCGCGAGAUCUAAAUCUUGAUUCUUGAUCAUCCCGUCGAUCCCGUCCAGUCUCCGUUUCAAUCGAACUCCGCUAAGGUUUCGCUAUGGUGCUUGGCGAAGACUCCUCAUCCGCGCCGCCCGGCGACGCCCAGACCCCUUCACCAGGCUCAAAGCUCCCCUCGGACUCCAACCCGGCUGCGGGGAACGACGACAGCGAAGUAGAGACGCUAGCUCGCCAGGUCCAGGAAAGCCUCGCACUUGGCACGCACCACCGUUUCUGGGAGACCCAGCCAGUCGGUCAAUUCAAUGAUCUCGGCGACACCAGCCUGCCCGAGGGCCCGAUCGAGCCACCAUCCCUCCUGUCGGACGUCAAGUCGGAGCCUUACAACCUCCCCGCCCCUUACGAGUGGACAACCUGCGACAUGGACGACGAGCAUACCUGCACCGAGGUCUACAAUCUCCUCUCGCUCAACUACGUCGAAGACGACGAGAAUCUAUUCCGCUUCAACUACUCCAAGGAGUUCCUCCGGUGGGCCCUCCACCCGCCGGGCUACUUCAAGGCCUGGCAUAUAGGGGUGCGGGUGAAGGCGACCAAAAAGCUCGUAGCUUUCAUCACCGGGGUGCCCGCCAGGAUCAGAGUCCGCGAGGAUGUGGUUCGCAUGGCAGAGGUGAACUUCUUGUGCGUCCACAAGAAGCUGAGAUCGAAGCGACUCGCGCCGGUGAUGAUAAAGGAGGUCACGAGGAGGGUCCAUCUGGAAAACAUCUGGCAGGCGGUGUACACAGCCGGAGUUGUCCUCCCGACUCCUAUCACAACCUGCCGUUACUGGCACAGGUCUCUGAAUCCGAAGAAGCUCAUAGAUGUCGGGUUCUCACGGCUUGGAGCUCGGAUGACUGUGAGCCGGACGAUUAGGCUAUACAAGCUGCCAGAAUCGACGGUGACCCCGGGUUUCAGGAAGAUGGAACUUCGUGAUGUUCCCGCUGUAACCAGGCUUCUAAGGCAGUUCUUGAGUCAGUUUGUGGUAGCACCGGACUUUGAUGAGAAUGAUGUGGAGCAUUGGCUUCUUCCAUUGGAGAACGUGGUGGAUAGUUACUUGAUUGUGAGCCCUGAGACUCAGGAAGUCACAGACUUUUGCAGCUUCUAUACUCUUCCAGCUUCUAUUCUCAACAACCCGAAUUACUCGGUCUUAAAGGCUGCAUACUCUUUCUACAAUGUGUCAACAAAAACUCCUUUGCUCCAGCUGAUGAAUGACGCUCUAAUUGUGGCAAAACAGCAGGACUAUGAUGUCUUCAAUGCUCUUGAUGUCAUGCACAACGAAGCCGUCCUUAAGGAACUGAAAUUUGGACCUGGCGACGGUCAUCUCCACUACUAUCUGUACAACUACCGGAUCAGAAAUGGUCUGAGACCAUCGGAAUUAGGCCUUGUUCUUCUAUAGGUUUCUCUUAUGAUCUCAGUUCUCUAUUUGGUUGUCUGUUGCCUGUGCUUUUUCUGUUUUCUAUUGAUAACAAUGUGUGUGUGUAUGUUUGUUUUUUUCCUCAUAGUAAUCCUGGAUCUCAUUUUUCUUGCAUUGAGACCAUUGAGGAAUCCAAUGUUAGGUUUCUUGAGGAAAUUAUUAUUAUUAUUAUUAUUAUUAUUAUUAUUAUUAUUUUUCUUUUUCUCGACUGCAAUCAUCGGAAAUUCCUGGCUCGAACUUGCUAAGUUGUUAUGCAACUCCAAUGUUUUAGCUAUUACUGCAGGUGUAAUUUCGUGCUUGGCGCUGUCGUGCUUCUGAGUGAUAAUGGCUUGACUUCCAUAUCUGAUAACAAGUUGCAAAUAGGUGUUUAAGAAUUAAUUACAAAUAGAUGUUUUAUUUGAAGGGGGAUGUAUUGCUAAUUGGUGUGAGUUUUAUUUUCCUUGUUGUGUUUGUUUUUUUGUUGCCAUAACAGACUUCCCUAUUGUGAUAAUCCCCGAUCAAGCUUAGAUAGGAAAUUCAGGUGCAUGUAAGCUUGGUGCAAUCAAUAAAUAGAAUUGGUGGAUGUUAAGGAUUACUUAAGCGUGGAUAAUUGUGGAGUAUUGAGAAAAUUGUUAAUUUAUGGAUCAUCAGCAAUGGUACGUAUCUGUGCUGUUAGGUAUAAUUCAACUAAUCACAAUUCCUUCUCAGUUUUGACUCUUUGGCAUAUAUCUGUUACUUUUUAGUGUGAUGGUUUUGGUAUCAAAUCUGUGGCAACAAAAUGUUGCCAUCUGCUUUGUGCAGAUUCAUAGCUGUACAAGUGAUCUCAGAUGUGCUAAAAGAUUUUUAUCGUGUUAGUUCAACCACAUGAGCUGCAUCUCCUAGUCCCUUUUACUUGUCACAUAAAUUUGGCAUCUGGUGCUUUGAUCAUCGCAUAGGUUUGGCAUGUGUUGCUUUAUUCUGCUAAUAGAUCUUUCCAAAAGUUUUGUUCCAUUUCAUCGCGUUCAGUGCAAUUUUAAUGAGGUGAUUUUGGUACUUGUAGUAUUUUCUCCAGUCCUGCAUCUGAAACUCCCUCGGAGCCAUGUUGGUUGGCACUCUUUUUUCAUGGCUUUGGUUCUUAUCAGUUUGUUUUCUCGGUUUUACUUUUUAUUCUCGCUCGGAGACUUGUCGAUCAUUUCUCUCCAUGUCCUUUAAAUAUCAUCUGUUAUGAAGAAAUUUAAAAUGUCGGUUUUGGCUCAUCAUAUCUUGGAUUUGACAAGCAAUCGGUUUAUUUGUGGUUAUGAGCUUCAUCUGGUCAGCUGCAAGUUAAGUUUUUGUAUGCCACUUGAUGUCAAGUUUAGUCUUGCUUUUCGUAUCAUGUACGUCAGACGUGCAUGUUCAAUUAUUUUGCUUGCCUAUGUAGCUUGGUUUGCCAAUGUAUUAGUCACUUCAUUUGCCGCUUAAGUACUCAAUAUAUUUUUGUGAUUUGAGAAUCAAUUGUGUUUUAGUGAUGUUGAAAUCUGACGAGUUCAGCCGCCACAGACGUGUAGUCUCUGAAGAUGCAGAGCUUUUCCUGUAUGUAGAUACGCUUCUAAGAUCAGAAACUGGGUUGGAGGAUUGAGGCGUCUCUACGAAGAUUUGAGAAUGGCAGGCAAAUAUGCAACUUUGGUGCAUUUAGACCUGGCUCACCUCUAGCCGAAUUGACCGACCUUUAUGCCUUGAGUGAAGGUAGGAGUCGAGUUUUCCCGACCUUUAGACCUUUAUACCUCAAGCGAAGGUAGGAGUUGGGUUAUCUCGCCUCAUAUAUUUAACGAGUAACUAUUCUCCUUUGAGUAAGCGUUCAUUAAGAGGAUCGACGAAUGAGUGUUUUUAUAACAUUGGGCUCUUCUAGUAUCAAAUAUAUUGAUAUGAUUCGAACUCGUAUGUGUAAAAUUAUCGAAAUAUUAAGCUUUCGAGGUGUCACUUAUAUGAAGAUCAAGAUCGGGAGAGAUUUUUCGAUCUGAUCUCUCUGACGCCCAUGUUAGUAAUCCAAAAUAUAUGAGUACGAACAUUAAUGAUAAAAAAAAAUAAACUCCUCUCUCGUUAUAUUAAAAAUAAAUUUUAUAUUUAAUAAUAAAGGAACAAAAUAUUCUAUAAAAUAUUCUACAAAGAAAAGGUAGUUUUCGUGAAUCUUUGUUCCUAACUUUUUGAUGAUAUCGAUAAAAAAAAACACACACACACACACGAUAGUACGAUCACAGCCAUAGCGCAACCGGACGUAUGUAUCCCUGAACCGCCGAAAGGCUCCUCCCCAGCGUCCCCUUCAUCUUUCCCUCCACUGCGUAGGCCUUGUGGCCGACCACGCGCUUCCGCCGCCGGAGAUCCGAAGACGCGCCAGCCCACGCGCUUCCACCCGCCUAUCAUCUGUCGAGUCUCAUUAAUUGGGCCGAGAAGCGAAGAUUGAAUUUAAUUUCGAUUUACGUUUCCCGCAUGCUUUAAAAGAAGUGGGAUGGAUACGAGCUUUGCCAUGCGGACUCCACUUCCAUCGCCAGCUCUACCCGUACAGAGCUCCUUUUAAGCGAGAGAGGGACGACUCGUGUACUGCGUUGUCCGCUAUCGCAACCGCUCUGUUAAUUAGGUCAACCCGUGCACCAUUAUGGACGUCGUCGGACUACGAUCCCUUCUCCUCCUUUCUCUCGAACGCUAAUCUAUCGUUCCUUCGAUUUGGAGGUGACCCUCAGGCUCCAUUCUCCGAUCGAUAGGCUCCGGGCGCGUCUCCAGCCCCUGCCCGCGUCGUGCAUUUGUUUCGAUUUUUUCGCUUCGAAAGGUCGGCGGAGGGGAGUUUUUGUUGCUUCGUUCUUCUCGAUAAUUUUUGUUGCUUGGGUCAGGUCACAGUUUGAUUUGGGCGGGUCUCCAUCUUGUGACCGCGGUGGUCGGAUGGAGCCCCGCGUUGAGAACAAAUUCCGCCUCGGUCGCAAGAUCGGCAGCGGGUCCUUUGGGGAGAUCUAUUUAGGUUGGUGGCUGCUACAUAAUCUCCCGAUCGCUUCGGUUCGGAGCCUGUUCUCUGUGGUUUUCCUGUUUCAGAAUCUCUAAAUUUUGCUUCUUGGUUGCAGGUACAAAUAUCCAAACGAACGAGGAGGUCGCAAUUAAGCUGGUAAAUAUAGCCUGUCUGUGUGCUACACAUUUUCAGCUAUUAAGGUGUUCGAUUAGAUCGACAUGCUAAAUUGGAAAAAAUGCAGAUGAUUUAGGAUCAGAUUUUCUUUGUAUUUGCGAUGGUUUAAUAGUUUAUUCUUAUGCUAAAUUGCUUUUUUUUUUUUCCCUGAACAUUCCUCGAGUGUUUAUGGAAGUUCUUUAGCUGUAGCUAUUUUUACAAGUUAAUAGUGUCCCUCAGGGUGCAGAUGUGCUUUCAGAAAAUGACUUCUUAAAUUGCAACAUAGGUUAGAGUUGGGAUCCUGUUUAAAGUUGGUAAAUAUUUGCAUAGCGAACUUCAGUUUCCAGCAAGGACUUUCCUGCUUAGACCAGGGACAAGAUGAAGUCCAAUCUGGCAGUGCUGCUCAUGUCACUUCCGGUUACUUUUUCUUCUCCUUCAUUGCUUCUUUCUACAAUUUUAGUUUGCUCUUCUGCAUUUCACCUGUAUAAAGGAUAUCAUUUUCUGUUGUUGAUUUUCAUUGUCCAUUGACCCCACCAGUCCCGCACUGGUGGAGCCUCAUGUACUUGACCACCCUUGUAUACAAGCUAAAACUUAUGUGGUUUUGGUAGCUUUUAAAAAUUUAUCCUCUGGUCAAGUUGAAUGCUUGCAAUGGCCUUGAUAAUUUUUCUCAUGUUUAUGCAUUUUCCUGCCUAUUAGGAAAACGUCAAGACAAAGCAUCCACGAUUGCUAUAUGAAUCAAAGCUAUACAGGAUCCUGCAAGGAGGAAGUAAUGAAAUUUUUGUAGCCUUUUGCUGUCUUCGUUACUCUUUCUUUCCUUUUUCUUAUUUUCUGUUGUCUUGGCAGCAGCUGGAAUUCCAAAUGUUAAACGGUUCGGUGUUGAGGGUGAUCAUAAUGUGCUCGUGAUGGAUUUAUUAGGACCCAGUCUGGAAGAUUUAUUUAACUUCUGCAGCAGAAAACUUUCUUUAAAGACUGUUUUGAUGCUUGCAGAUCAGACGGUAGGUUGAUAUUUUAGUGCACCUGUCUGAAUUGACAUGAUACUUCACUUUCAACAUUGGGAACAUGAUUAUGUAUCCUUAGCCAGAAUAUGCUUUAAUGGCAGCUGCUGUUACAAUCUCUUUCUAGCAUUCUUGAUGCUUCCACUUAAAAUUUUGAUCUUGCAUUUACUUUUCAUUUCAUGUCUUCAUGAUACUAUUUUCCAUAAUUCAUAUCCAUAAGAACCCAACAUUGAUGAAUAAUGCUUUUCUGAUUGCCUCAAACGUCGGGCUUAUAUUAUGUAUUAAGAUUAUUUACUUCAGAUUAAUCGAGUGGAGUUUGUGCAUUCUAAGUCCUUUCUGCACCGAGACAUCAAGCCAGAUAAUUUUCUAAUGGGCCUUGGUAGACGAGCUAACCAGGCAUGCCUCUAAAUUUUUUAUAGUUUUAUCAUUUAAAUUUAUAAAUUGAUGAUAUUGUUCAUCAUAUGCUUUACUGAGUUGCCUAUGCAUUUCCUUCAGGUGUAUAUUAUUGAUUUUGGCCUUGCCAAGAAGUAUAGGGUUACUUCAACUCAUCAGCAUAUUCCAUAUAGGUAACAUACAAUUAUCUAAACCAUGUGCCUGAGUUUUCUGUUCCAGCUUUUGCAUUAAUGUUUGAAACUGGCAGGUUAAUCAUAUUUAGUUCCUCAGAGUUUUGUCCUGUAGUCUCUCUUAUAUAAUUUUCUAUAUGCGUCUUGGUUGGUGGAUGCCUAUAGACAGGAUAAGGCAUAUUCUUUGUCACUUUUAAAUAAAUUUGAGAACAUAACUUAUGUUGCUAAGAGCUUCAAUUAUUCAUCUUUUUAUGAACUAAGAAAAUGGAUCUUUCAUAAAUGUUUUUGGCCUAGAAAUGUUUAAAUUUUUGUAUAAAUAAGUUAAACAUUUUCUAAACAAGCUGUGUGGGCUUGUCGAUGUUGAUAUUUCAUUUGAAUUUUUUUGGAAUAUUUUGAUGGAAAGUAUUAAGGACCAGCUACUAUAUAUCUGACCAGAUUGAUGUUUCCUCUAAUUAGCUUCAUUUUUAGUUGGUACGGAUCGACAAUUCUGUUGUAGUAUGACUUCCUCACUAUUGAGGUUACACUCCUUUGUUGGGUGUCUUCUUUUCUACUACAUUCUUUAAUCACACUUUCACGUUUAGGCACUUGUGAUCUGAUUUUAUAGUUUAAUGAUUGGAGUUUGCAUCACAUCGGUUCUAGAUUAGUCAGAAGUUACCUUCUUUUUCAUUUUAUUGUUAUAAUCCUUUGCAGAGAGAACAAGAACUUGACUGGGACAGCAAGAUAUGCAAGUGUGAAUACACAUCUUGGCAUAGGUAUGAUAAUAACUUCCCAUAUAUUAACUUUUUUCUAUAUUCUGUUAAGUUCCAUUAGUUGACUGUUCUACUUGUAUGUUCUGUAGUUUUUUGUAUAAUUAUUUGUUUGUUGCAUUUUAUUCAUCUCGAUUCUGACUGUUGUUUUUAUUCUGCCAAGAACAAAGCAGGAGGGAUGACUUGGAAUCUAUUGGAUAUGUUCUUAUGUACUUCUUAAGAGGAAGGUUUGUUAAUCUGGUAGAACGUCUUCAUCCUCACCUAUCUCAAAUUCCUAAUGCAUUUAACAAUUGGUUCUCUCUUUUUUUUUUUCUUUUUUUUUUUCAGCCUUCCAUGGCAGGGUCUGAAAGCAGGAACCAAGAAACAGAAGUAUGAAAAAAUUAGUGAAAAGAAAGUUGCCACAUCAAUUGAGGUGAGCUCUUAUCUACAUCACAACUUUGGGAUUUUAUGCUAUUUUCCCAUGGUUCUGAUAAUUAAAAAGUCUCUUGUACCCUUAGGCUUUAUGUAUGGGAUAUCCUUCAGAGUUUGCAUCAUACUUCCAUUAUUGCCGUUCACUACGAUUUGAGGACGAACCUGAUUAUGCAUAUCUUAAGAGAUUGUUCUGUGACCUUUUCAUCCAUGAAGGUUGGUUUUCCUUCUCAUGUAUGUUAAAUUACAAGAAUUUAUGUUAAUUAAGGAUAUAAUCACAUGACUGAUUAAGGUGCAGCUUCUGCAGAAUUUUCAUAUUGAUGUACAAUCAUUUUUGUGUCCUCUGCAGGUUACCAGUUUGAUUAUGUAUUUGACUGGACCAUUUUAAAGUAUCAGCAGUCUAUGAUAGCUGGUGCUCCUCCACGUGCUAUUGUUAGUCAAUUGCUGAUAUUGUCUCUGAGUCUAAUUUUUUGCACUUCAUGAGAUUUGGAUAAUCUUUUCUACUUGUUUAGGGUCCAAGUGCAGGACCUAGCUCUGGUUUGGUUCCUGCUGAUGCUAAUAACAGGCAAUCAGGUGAUCUGUUCGCUUUCCUUAUUGCACUAUCUUAUAAACUGUUGUUUUUAUUCCUGAAUUGAGUCUGUUUCUUCAUCUGAAAAGCUAUCCUUAGUUUAUUUAAUUUUCUUUUUCACACUUGGCUGCUUCAUUGGCUUGUGCUGAUUGAUCGAUCAAAUCUUAAAGUCCAAAUUGGUUGUGGUUUUCAUCUUCAUAUUUUCGGAACUUAGAAAGUAUAUUAGUUUCUAAUCUACUAAUCACACUGCAUAUUUUAAAGAAUUUACUUGUUCCAUUUUUAUAAUUUGGAGGAUAAACUUUUUAAGAUUGUGUUUAGGUGGUGAGGAAGGAAGGACAAGUGGUUGGUUGACAACGGACCCUUCAUGUCGUGGACGUGUUACCCCUCCAGCUGUAACCGUAGGUAGCUUAUCAAAGCAGAAGGCCCAUGUGCGGAAUGAUCUGUCUGUCAGUAAAGAUUCUAUUGUGAGUUUAUUACUCUAAUAUUCCCCUCAAACGAAACAUUUAAGGACAACAUUAAUAAGAAAAUUACAACUAUUAUUUAACUAGUCAGAUUUGAUCAAAUUCUAGUUGUAUUAUGAUCCUUUAUAUUCUGCUUUCUCACCUAUCUAGCAAAUGACCUGUAAAUGUAUGCCUGCAAAGUGCAAACCCAAUAAAAUGGGUGAAUUGAGGCUUGGGGUUGGGCUGGUACCCUUGACUAUUGGAUUCUUUUACCAUUUCUCAUUUUUUGUGGAUCAUAUGGUUAAUGUAAUUAUCUCACUGAAAAAACUGUAAAUGAUUUGAGUAAUGUUUGGAGCUAAGCCUAUGAGAACUUUUAUCAAGAGUGUGGUAGAAAUCUCAGGAUAUCUAGAUCUCUAAAAAGAAUGCUUCUGUGCUCUGCUAAGUCUGUUAAGAGUUUGACUUCCGCAUUGGUCCUUAAACUGUAGAUGUGGUCACCCUAUAAUUUGGUUUAUAAGGAUCAGAAGGAAUUGUAGGGAUGUAAUUACAAUUAUCAUUUGUUCAAAGAGUCCAAUUAUUUAUAUAAAUUAUUCAAUUAAACCUAUGAUCAAGUUUGUUACGAGAAGUGACGAACUAACUGGCUUAUAUUAAGCAUUUAUCUACAUAGCACAUGGCAUUUAUACUCUUUUAGAAGCCUAUUUAAGUUAGAAGAAGUAGUACAUAUUGAAUAAUGUCUGGUAUCCUAAAGAAAUUUGUCAUGGAUCUGUUAUCAAGACACAAUAGCAAAUAUUGCAAUAAUAAAAAAAGGAACAAAGAAAACAUGCAUGAAAGAUACAUAUGACUGUGUGGUCUGCAUUUGGUCCGCUCGAGUGACAGGGGUCCUGUUGGCCCUAAGGUGAUGAUGUGGGAUUUUUUUGUGUGUUACAAUGGCCCUCUCUACCUCCGAGUCGAUUAGGGUACACCAAUCUCAAGCUGAUCUUUUUUUUUUUUUUUUCUGCUUCAUAAAGGGAGGUACAAGUGUAUAAUUUGUGUGUAGCUUCAUUGAUCAUUUACAAUUUUGUUUUACAUCUUCAGUCAAUGACUUAGUUUUUAUUUUGGGAUAUAAAGUGAUUUGUGUUUGCGUGUAGCUUAUGAUUGAGAUUCCAAAUUUUAGUUCUUAGUCAGAUGCAUGAAACUCCAGGAUCAUGAUGUCUAUAAUAUAUGUAUAGGGUUACGUUUUGCGUAAAUACUGACUCGAAUAUAUGCACAUAUUAGUUUUCCAGGUCAGCUUAUUUGGAACGGUCAAGUGGAUCCUCGAGGCGAGCUGCUGUUUCCAGUAGCAGAGACAUGGUGGGGACUGAAGCAGAUCAAACUUGCACUCGUACUGCAGGGGGCAGCCCAGGGACUUUCUGCAGGGUUUCUAGUGCCCAGAGAAGAUUCCCAAUUAGUUCUGCCGAGCACAAGCAUACUUCUGGAAGGAAUCCAUCUAUGCUUAGGAAUAAUGAGUCCGCGCUCAAGGGAAUCGAGGCCCUUCGUUUUGACGGUGGGGAGAGGAAGCAGUUGUAGUAGAUCGCAAGACCUGCUGCCCGUUCUUUUGUAUUACUCCAUGGAAAUCCAUAAACCGAAGGCAUGUUUUUAUCCCUUGACUCAUGAAUGAGGUGGUAGUCCGAGUGACUACCUCAAGUGCCCCCGGUGCCUGUGAGGAAAAACAAUAGCAAGGUUGGUCGAACCAUCGUAAGCGCUGUUUGUACAUUUGUCCGGGAUUAUAUGCCCUUGUUAUUUCAUUAUAAUUCCUGGUAUUUAUUAUGUUUCAAAAUAUCUUAUUGCUGACUUUCCUGCAUGGAAACCUUGUCUUUGAAAUUAUGUUUCAGUUUGCACUGCUAAUGUUUAUUUAAUCUUAGGUGGCCUAUUGCCGCUGCUGCAGCUGCAGACGUGUAAAAAAUACUGGACUGUGGAUUGGUAUUCCAUUUAAAUAAUUUAUUAUUUAUUAAAUAAAAUUAUCAUUGACGUCUGAGUCCAUAUGAUGUUGUCCAAACUCGAAAAGACUCUAAUGUCCAAAGUGGCUCCGAAGUAGUUAUGGAGUGGCUUUGAGGUGGGGGGGGGGUCGAGAGCUUUUGAGGCAUUACUUACAUUAAGACCGAUGUAAGGAGAAAGUUUUUUAUUCGAUCUCAUUGUCAUUCAAGUUAGUUCGAGACCCUUUUUAGAGUAAGGGUUUUUCUCAAAAAGAGAGUCUCGACAUAGCGUCGGGGGUUAGCUUUUAUACCUCGUCUACAGAGAGGACAAUUUGCAACUGCCCCAAUGUUCCCCUUUGACGUUUUAUAUCUAGCCUCAAGCACAUUUCGUCAAAGCGGAUUUAUCUGGGUGUAAGUUGGGUUUUCUAACUCGGACAUCUCAGGCAUAUUCGGUCCUACGCCUUCGCCAUAGCGAGUUUAUCUUGGCGCAAGUCGAGUUUCCCGACUCACAUGCCUCGGGCACAUUUGACUUUACUCUAUUGUAACAAAUUUAUCUUGGUGCGGGUCAGGUUUCCCAACUCACACACCUCGAGCACAUUCGAUCCUACUCCGUCCCCAUAGCAGAUUUAUCUUGGCUCGGGUUGAGUUUCCUAACUCACACGCUUUAGAUACAUUCGGCCCUGCUCUACCACCGUAGCAGACUUCUCUUGGCUUAGUUAGGUUUUCUACCUCACAUGUCUCAGGCACAUUUGGCCCUGCUUUAUCGUAGUGGAUUUAUUUUGAUAUGGAUCGAGUUUCCUAAUUGAUACACCUUGAGCACAUUCGACCCUACUCCACCAUAAUAGAUAUAACUUGGUGUGGGUCGGGUUUCUUGACUCACAUGCCUUGAGCACCUUUAGUUGUACUCAAUCAUAGCAAAUUUAUCUUGGCACUAGUUGGGUUUCUCAACUCACACACCUUGGACAUAUUUAGCUUAUGCCUCCACCAUAACUAGUUUAUCCUGACAUGGGUCAAGUUUCCUGAUUCACAUGCCUCGAGCAUAUUUGACAUUGUGCCUCCAUCGUAGCGAGUUUAUCCUGGCGCAGUUUAGGUUUCCCAACUCACAUACCUCAUGCAUAUUUGGUCAUAUCCCUUUGUUAUGGCGACCUUCGAGACCUCCCUUUACCAUGUUAGAUUUCCAAAUCCUUCCUCCAUUGUGAUGAAUUUUGAUACCUCUUUUUGUCGUGACAGAUUUCAGAUUCUUCAUCGUAGUGGAUUUUCAAGUUCUUCCUCUAGUGUGAUAGAUUUUGAAGUCCUUUCUCCAUUGUAGUGGAUUUCAAAGUUCUUUAUCCAUCGUGGUAGAUUUUGGGUCCUCUUUCCAUUUUGAUGGAUUUCAAAGUCCUUCCUUCGUUGUGGCGGAUUUUGAAGUUCUUCUUUCGCCAUGCUAAUUUCGUAGGGAAAUCUAUGGGCGAUAUCAUAUGUAUAAUUGAAGAACAUAAAACAAAAUUCCUAAAUUUUUCAAAAUGUGUUCAUCGUCGUGCGAAAAUUGAUGUGCAAAAACUCGCAAAACUGAAAACCACGUGUAUGAUAGUUAUGUUACCUAGGAAGAUCGUAUAUCCCUGAAUUUCUAUAGAUCUGUGGGAGAUGAUGAAGGAGAUUACACGUCCUCCUCUCUAGCGGUGAUCCACAUAGUAGAGGCUACGAAGAAUCUCCUCGAAUCGUUAUUCAAAUCUCUACACCUGCUAUCCGAGGAGAAGAAGGGGAGAGGAGAAUAGGAUGUGGCGACCAAGAAGCCUAGCAUAUGACUCUUUGGUUCUCUCCUAUUUAUAGAGGCCCCUGUUAACUUAACUCUAAUAGAUCUUGUUUUAUUAUGUAUCGGAUCUCCAUCCAACUACGCAAGCCUCUUAGAUUAGUAGAUCUCUAUUCAAUAAUCUCUCAUUGGCUCUUAUUGGAUCUCAUUCAUAGGAUCCAAUAAUUCAUGAGCUUAUUGGAUAUCCAAUAAGAUAAGAGCUUUGACAGAUAUCUCAUAUUCGAACCUUUACUCGCCGCAAUACCUACCAUAUGUGUAUGACCCUUUAGGCCUAAUAUCGAGCUGGUCGUGAGUCAUACCUAUCAGAACUCCUUCUAGCUCAAUAAAUUAUUAUCUCAAUAAUAAUUCACUCGACUCAUCGACUACGAACAUACUAAGUCACUACGCUGCAAUCAUCAAACGAUAUAGGGGAAUCCAAUCCUUUGGACCUAUCUGUCCUCAAUUAUCAUAUACUUGUAGUCCCUCAUUCAUCUAAUAUCUUAAAGAUCGUACACGAGGCAUGGUGUUAUCAGGCACAUAUAGUUUCUUCUCGAGUCUCACUCUAAUCAGAUUCUCCCGAAGAACUCUUUCUCUCUUAAUCCGAAUGACCUUGGCCAAGGAUUUGUUUGAGCAAUAACACAUGAUAUAUUUCUUUCAUGAUAUUGAGAGUGGAUGAUCCUUUAUCGACACUCAAUAGCCUUCGUAAGAUUGGCUAUUGCUCUCGAUGAUUGACUAUACUAGAUCUAGAACUUUCAAACCUAUAAAUCUAGUAUCAAAGAGUAGAGUACUCAUACAUUUCAUCCUUGGUGUCUCAAAUUUAAGGACCAGGUACACCACUAGGAUGACGAAAUUAUUGUCUAACAAUGAGGUAUCAUCAACCAUCCAACAUUUAAUGAGCGGAUCAAUCAGUGAACUCAUUCUCCGAUGAGCACAUGCAUUGUAGCCCUAGUAUCUCCACACAAGUAGCUAUGAGACCAGCCGCCUCCAUCAUAUUAAUGGGUAUACAAUAUACCAGUCUAUCUGGUUAUCUCGAUGUCCCUCUCGAGUAACCUAUGAUCAUGAUUAUUUAGGAUAUAUGUUUAAAGGUGAAUCAAUCUCAUUAUCAUAAUCUCAUCAUGAUCCUAUUCUCAUUGCAUAGAUUAAUGAAUAUCACAAUAUAUUUAUACAAUAAGCAAUAUAAAUUGAGAAAAUAUCAUAAUAAUAAUAAGCAAAAAUAGUGCUUGUCAUAUCACACGUGUCAUCACUCAUGUGAUUGGCUUAUAUGACACCUAUAACUAGCACCACUCUCGCACUGAGCCUCUCAACAUUGUCGAAAACGUGUGACAUAUUAAAGGGUUCAAGGUGCUAUAGAGAGACAUCUGGGCAUGGAAGGUAAUAAUGUGUUCAACUAAGUCGAUAGUAUCAUCAAAGGCUUAUAGUGAUAGGAGGCAAAAUUUGGUCAAGAUUGGUUCCUCUUGGAUGUUCUAGGUAAAUGGGUAUUGCCACGAGGAAGGAUCGAUCGGAUUCUCCUCCUAAGAUUAUUGGAACUCCUAUUACAUCUCGUCUACGUGUUGGCUCAUUUGCUGCAAUUAGGCCCUCAAGGAGUCAUCCAUUAAAUAUACUAAUCGGGUUUCAAAUUCAGGAAGAGUAGAGCGAUAGUGUGGUGGUGCACUGAACUCCACGGUUGGGGAGUGGGGUGCUCCUUCGGCUGGCAGUUCUAUAAACCUUGGGCGAUUCUGAGAUGUUGGCAUCACGUCAGUCGAGGAGAUUCCAAAAGGUGUCGAUGCUAGUGGUGGUUGAGGUAUUGAUCGUGGUUGAGAUAGUGGCACCAUUUAUUGGGCUAGCUAUGGCAAGAGCAAGGUGAUAGCCUACAUCAUGCUCGUGAGCAUUUGUACUUGAUAAGUGAGAUUCAAAAACAUCUCGAUGAGAAUGAGCAAGUGGCUUGAAUUCAUCUUCAGGGGUGUGAGACCUAGGACAUUAAACAAUCGCUAGUAUCUCAUUAGCGUUUGUGAUGAAAUGGAUGCAUCCACAUGUGAGGAGGGCAAUUGUCCCCCCUGAAUAAAAGUAUUAUGGGUUAGAGGUAGGGCCUCCUCGUUGGAGCGUUCCUUGAGAGGAUUGAUAGAUAGAUGUCCCUAUGACAUUAAGCCCUCAUUCUAGCACCAAAAUGUUUAGGAAAAUCAUCUUCGACAUCUGAGUCAACUCAACGUUGUUCAUACCCGAAGGCCCAGGAGUAUUCUAAGUGGCUCUGAUAUGGUGCUAAGGUGGUUCUAAGGUGGGGGGUCGAGCCUUCGAGACGUCGCCUACAUUAACACCAAUGUCGAGAGAAGUUUCUUGAUCUGAUCCUUUCGACGUUAAAGUUAGUUCAAGAUCCUUUUUAGGUUAUGAGUUUUUCUUGAAAAGAGAGUCCCUCGGCACAACGUCGAGGAUUAGUUUUUAUACAUGGUCUAUAGAGAUGAUAUCCACAUGGAUGACAUGGGAGAGAUAGGCCUGAACCGCCACCCUUGAAUUGUUAUCCACGAGGGCAGACAAGUAGAGAGUGACUGUGACCUUUACUUUUCAUACCAAUCUCCUUGUGGCGAUUGAUGUCGGAUGAUGAUUGAUCGCUAAUAUAUUUUUUAUUAUCAUCUAAAAGCUUGAGUGGGCAAAAGGAUAUAUCCAUUUAUAAUUUCAAUAUACGUGUAUUCCCAAGAAACACUACGUUAAUCAAGUGAACAUUUCUAGAAUGAGAUAUAUAUAUAUAUAUAUAUAUAUUGUGUGUAACAGUAGAUAAUGAAAAAUUACUCGCACAUUAUAUAACAAAUGACAAGAAGAUGUUGGUUCUGAAAACUCGGAGACUUUACAAUUCAUGGAUUAACGAAGGAUUCACGGGAGCAGAGUGAGUCCAAGGUUAUUUCUCAUUGCUAUAGUAGUUCUCCUCGUCUAUGCUUCUCUUCCAGCUCUUACUCCUCCAUGACGUCGAAAUUGAAGAAUCUGUGGCAGCAUUUUUGUUGGAGUCGCUGCUACCAAAAUACUGAACGUGGCCUGAUGACAUCCGCCUCUCAAUUGUUGUUCUUCCGUUAUUGCAGGCUUUCUGCUUGGCCUUAAUAUUGCUCUGCUCAGUUCUCUGUGGCGUUAAUAGCAGAAAAGUAGAUGCUGGAGUCGGCGUACAAACCGAAGAAGAAGAGGACGAAGAGCUCUCAUCGCAUUGGAAUUCCAAGGAGGAAUCAAUCUGAACUCUGCGGCCUUUCUCCCUGAGCACAGACGCAUGGUUUGCAGAUGGUCUUGUGGCGACGUCGUUCCUUUUAGCUUUUACUACGCGUGGAUCCACAUGGUUUGUACAAUCAGAUCCCCCAUAAUUCUCAAUCUCAAAUGGUUCGAUCUGAAUCUGUUCCAUAAACCUGUUUUCCCAAGGUUUCGCUGUUGUUGCCAUCCAAUGCCGUGACCUCCUCCAAUGAAAAGUUUCGUGAUCAUCGAAGCAAAGCACAGGUGGUUUAGAACACUUGUUCAGAUCAUUUGGCCUCCACUGCUGAAAGGAGGUGUCCGAAGAUUCAAUUAGAGGGUUAACAAGGAAUAUGGAUAACAGAGAAGGCGUGCGUUGUGGACUUGUUGUACCUUUUUGCACAGUGAGUAAGCGAUGGCCCGCUCUCUCUUCAUGGCUCCAUCUCUCCGCAUCUGUAGUUUCGCUUUGAUCUCUUCCAGUGUUCCCGGACUGUCACACCAACCAUCCUGCCAGCCCAAAAACGAAAGAGGAGUUGAGAAGCAAUGCUGAUGGAGUUGGCCCUAAUUAGUAUAUACAUAACUAAGACAGCACACCGCGCUCGUAGGGGAACGACGGCGAUAUGACUUGGAAGAGUGGUGGUGAAGCAACAUGAGAGGUUAGCUUAUACGUACGUACCUCCGCCUCCUUUAAGACAGCCACUUUGCUCCGGCAAUUGUCGAUCCUACGCUGCGCGGCCUGGGCCCGUGCCUGCAUGCACUCUAGCGUCGCCGCCGCUGCUGCCUGCUUCCUCACCCGCCGGCCUCGCACCAGAGCUUGAAGCCUGACGAUCCCUUUCAAAGCGCUCAAGGCUCUUCUGGCCUACCAAUAUCCAACAUCUCAUAUUGGAAAUCCAGAGUCGCGUAUUCACACAAACACACCAAAGGCUCCACGCAGAGAUGACAAAAAUCUCGACACGAAGCCGUUCAACAUCACAGAGAGAGAGAGAGAGAGAGAAGAAAAAGAAGAAGAAGUAUGCAAAAGGGAAGAAGCAAACUAAUUAGUCAAGAUAAGGAAGAUUUUGGCUUAUACAAAAGGGAAGUAGAUUGGACGUAGAAAGACACCAAAGAUGAAUCUCCAUCAAUAAACUGUAUUCCAUGAGGGACUAGUAGACUGCCCGUAACAAAAUUGAUAUCAUCGUUAGUGUCUGUACGUAAGGCAGCAUAAAGAUAGAGAAAUAGAAGAGUAACGAGAGAGAGAGAGAGAGAGAGAGAGAGAGAGAGAGAGAGAGAGAUCAAAUACCAAGCAUCCGCGGAAAGCUGCCUGUAUUCUAAUAGCCGCAAACGCCUGCCUCACGACCUUGAAAUCAUUAUGCGGAGAGCAAACGCUCGUAGAAGCAUAUAGAGCCGCCACCUCCUCCUCCUCCACCACCUCCGAAGCCGACCGGUGACUCUCGCUGGCUCCCGGCUGGGAGGACUUCUUCCAGAACUUCCACCUCCGGCUUCCGCUCUCACUACAGCCUUCUUCCGCCUUCUCCUCGGAGGACCCCAACAGCAGAGUCACAACAACUCACUGAAAACAAAUCAAGAUCGCUUCUUUGAGAAAGGAACGGGCGGGAUCGCUUACCUGGUCCAACUUGUCCUGCUUUCCGAGGCCAAUGAGGGAGUUUAUCCUCCACUUCCCGGAACCACCACCCAUCGAUCGAAUUGCAGGUGCGAACAGAGGAAAGCCUCUGUUUCUAUUACCGACCGCAACUCUGGGGACGGAAAGGAGCAGUUUUGGAGGGACAGACGGUAGUGUCGAGCGACGUGUUUGCAGCGGUUGGAAGAGUUGCCGCAAUUCGAAAGACACUGUUGCGAGCGGAGGAGCGGAGGGAGUUCACUCGGUUUGGUUUAUCGUCGUUACGACCGGGUCGAACGACUUAAUCGGCUGACUGUUAACAUCUGUAUUGACUACGUAUUGGAUGAUUGGACGCAGCCAUACGGUCCCACGUGGGCUCCGUGAGUAGCCAAUCAACGGAAAGGCAAGGACGACGGACGACACUCCGUGUUCGCGACUCUGUUGGCAACGAUGGUUGGCCGCUGCGGAGUCGAGAGAUCCUCCGCUAGUCCCAAGCAGAGGAGGAUUCCCCCAAUUCAAUCAUCUUAACAUCUCCUCCGAAUCCUAGCGGAAUAGAAUUACUCUGCCUUCUAAUUUAUAAAUAGGAGACGAACAUAUUAAUGUAUUUAAUUUUUUUUUAUUUUUUUAAUAUUUUUUUAAUAAUUAUUAUUAUUUUUUUUUCAUCGUGGUAUCGUAGCAAUGAAAAAAGCGAAGCUUAACUCUUGCCUUUGGCCAACGACCAAUGCCGCUGAGAAAAACAAAGCUUCGCCCUUGCGAGGGUAUCCUCUUCGUCAUAACGACCGACGAGAUGGACAUGCUCCCUGCUGUUGUUAAGGCCACUGUCGCCGAGAAGGCGUCUGCCGUGGACGUGCAUCCUACUAUCAAGGUCACCAUUGAUGAGGGUAAUAAUGGCGACAUGACACACCACGACGUCAGCCACGCCUGGACGACACUCUGCCCCAAAGAGGGCAAUAAUGCCGACGCAAUGUGCACUGACAUCACCCGCUCUCAAACAACGACUUCAUCGCUGUCUGACCCAACAUGCUUGGCCAAGGCAUAGGAGAACGGCGACCGAGGCUCGCCCAUGCCCUGCGGUAGUUCGGUUCUCCAUGCAACGCCCACGGCAAUGUCAGACGCCAUCAGAGGUACGAUCCUGCUCCUGCGGACAGGCACAUCAGGUAACACUAAACUUACCUAUAAAUACCCCCGAGUUCUAAACGAAGGGGGGACAAAAAAAGAAAGGAGAGAGCACUUCUUCACCUGAAACCCCUUCCACAUCUCACUAACUUGAUCGUCGGAGGGGUCGGGCCGAGCUUCCGACCUGACCUGUGUGCAGGUGCAAGGACGGGGUUGCUUCUUCCCGGCGCUGCGGAAAAGCUUUCCUCUCGACACAACGUCCCGACCGGAUCACCUUAAUCAGCCACCUGGGCAAUCUCGAGGGACGCCGUACCAGAUCCCCGUCAUUCGGACCCCGACCAAGCCGCGUCGGCCCCGAGGCCACGGCAUAAAGUUGUUUACACUAACAACCAUCAUGGAGACCGAGUACUACUACGAGGAGGAUACUGGCCUCUGGCAGCACUUCUUCGACGUCUACUUGGAUAAUAUUCCGGUCACGCUGAACCUUGCGGCCUUCGGGAGGCAAAUCAAGGAGAUCGUUCAGUUCAGCUGAAGCUUCCCGAGUCGAUCUCGUGCGACAAUCAAUCGUCUUGGGUAGGGAUCGGUCGAUUUCUAGCUGCAAUAUGUAAAUCUGAUAUGCCGCCGGCAGCUUGCAUCCGGCAAUCAUGGCUCUAGUAAAUCCCUCGUUCUUCCUCGUCCAUGUAUGUUGGAAGCAAGGUCAGAUUCCGGCUGCAACAUGCAUGCACGUCGACCUACUUUUCUUUCAAUAUGAACCUUAAUCUUUAGUCCUAUAAGCAUAAUGAUAUGUGGUUUUCGUAUUAUUCUUUUUGUGAAACAAAAUAUUAAUUUCAUGUUAAGUUAUGAGAUGUUAUUAUCAAUUUGCAGGCCACAUAAAUCGAUUCAUUCAGUUGACUCUAAAAAUAAAAAGGAGUCCCCCAUCGUUCAAUAAAAUAAAAUUGUGUAAAUUACAUUCCUUUUGGGAAAAAAUAAUAAUAAUCCGACUGACUACGCACAGUAUCCCAAUCGAAGAAAAGAAGUAAAUGUUGUGCACAAUCGAACAAUACUUCCAACGAAUAAAUUGGAAGAAAAAAAAAAGAAAACGAAAUCACCUCGAAAAGUUGGUUCGUCGAUCGAUCAAAUCCUUAGCCACAGUCAAAAGACAAAAUCUAGGGUAAAAGAAAAAAAGAAUUGUCUGGCUUCGUGUGCCACAAGUCAGUUUCGGCCAGGAGAUCACGGCCGGUUUCUAUUUCGUGGUUGGUAGAGCCGUCAUCACAUCAUCUCCUUACGUGCUUAGGUAGUGUGAGGGCGACGGUGGGGGUCGGAAUGCCCAUGUACUGAAGCCUAGGGGACAGCCUGACCCUGGGGCUUGGUCGUGGAGACGGGAUGGGGACUCUGCUUCCGCUGGGUGACGGAGUAACUCUCGGUGAGAGGUUCGCUUGCUCGAGUGCCUUGGAUCGGAGAUCAGGUGGGUAAUCCCGAACGCACCCGAUGCGAGCCCCGGCAGCUGUAGUCCAUCUACAUGAUAUGCGUUUGUCAAACUCCGACGCCACCACCUCGUCCACUCUGUUUUCCAUGGUUUCGUCUGGCCUGGGGUCCUCCGAAGGUUCCGUAGCUUCCGUGACCUCGACUGUAGUGGAAACUGCUAAUGCAUCAGCCUUGUUAGCGUCAGCUUCUAUCUCAUCGUUCCGUUUCUCCAAGGAGGGGUAGUCAUCAUCGUCGACGGAACACCUCUGCGAUCGAAGAGUCAUAUUUGUCCCGUUAGCAAGAUUUUACCUAGUCAAGAACUGCCAAAAUGUCGAUCGAUCUCAACAGGAACCAAAUUCAUCUUGCAAGUGCGGUUGAUAUUUCUCUUUACCACUCGUAUAACAGCUACUGCUUAUAAAAUUCAGGUUUCCGGUGGCUAAAAUAGAACGGACGUGAUGAAAUAUUGUAAUAUCUGCUAGGAGUGUUUGCAAGAUUAAUAUUUACCUUGACAUUGCUGAGGUCUACAUCGUUGUUCUCAAGGAAGGUGAUAAAUUCCUUGAAAUUAUCCUCGGUUGGGAGGUAAUGACCGCUGUAUGGCCAUAUCGCCUGAAGAAUAGCAGCAAAGGGAAAACGAAAAACAAGGUUUCAUCAGAAUGCCUAAUAACUCCAUCAACUAAACAUACAGAUUCUUGUGAUCGUUGCAACUUCGUUUUCCAGGAAUUCGCAUCCGGUUAGGUGUAAAAUAAGUACCUGGAGUACCCCUUGCGUAGCAACCAAUCUUCCGGCAGCUGUUGUCGCUCCCCCAGCUAGAAAACUCGAAUGCUGGAACGCGCCUUUCUUUUUCUGCUCAUGGAAGAACAUACAUAUGUUGGUAUCAGACAAGUCGAAUCCUCAAACAGACCAGCCUAGUUGAACACCAAAACUUGGGGCGAAGCAGAUAUGUUUUCUUUGCUUGAGUUCUGAUAUAAGAUGGAUGUUCACCGUUACCUGUCCCACGUACAAUACUCUCGAUGUGCUGAGGACAAAUAUCCACUUGGAACCUUCCGUUGUACUAACAGGCAUUCCGCUCACUUUGUAGACAAGCUUUCCAUCCUUGACCAUGACUUCAUAUGCUUCCCUCUCUUUCUGCACACGACAAAGACUUGGUUUCUGAUUGGUGAUAUAUUUAGCUCAUAUCAUCAGAGGUGGUGACGGGAUAAACUUAAUUCAUACCGGUCCAAGAUAUUGGAUGCGCUGGUUCUGAAGAUGGCUUCUUGGGUACUUUUCGAGAUUUAUUUCCCGUCCAUCGCCGACAUCCAACCUUCAUGUGUGCCAAAAACAAUGAGAGAGAGAGAGGUCAGCACCGAGAGUUGCAUCUGCUUCCGCAUGAGAAGCCAUGUAUGCUAGGCAUAUAUGUACCAGUAAAAGAAUGGUUGGGUGCUCUCGCUCUCGAACCACACAUCAUAAUAGCAAUGCAAAUUGUGGCCGUACCGAUGACGGGGGUCGAUCUGCACGGUCGAUAUGUUUAGUGUUCGAAAGAUUCACAGCGCAAGACAAAUUACUUGAUUUCCUCCUAUCCUCUCUACUCCGGGCUGCGCAAACCCCUUCCUAAACAAUGAUACGGAGAAGGAAUCUUACCGCUUCCAGCCAGUGUUGUAGUGCUAGCUUCUGGGCCUUUUCGUCUUUGGACAAACCCUUGCCAACCUGAGAAUGACGAACGCAUAGAUCAGAUUGGUGGAACAAAAACGAGGCAGACUGCAGAGCCCAAAACAGAUGCGCAAGAUAAAUGGCAUUCAUUACCUUGGCUGCUCUGGUCCGAGCCCUUGCCCAUCUCGAAACCGCCGUCUCUGGUUUUUCAACUUUGAAGAAUGACAUAGAGCUAUGCUCCAGAGAAGCAAAAUCUAAUGCCUUCCACCUAAAUCAAAGGACGGAUAUCAGACUAUGAUCGUCGUUACAUAGAUUUAAGUUUGUGCAGCAGAGUCGGAGACGACGAACCAGAGCUCCUCGACCACGACGGCGCAGUCUGCUAGAUUUCUUCUGGUUCGGUAACUCUUGUAGACGUUCUGCAGCUUGGUGGCUGCCGCAUCAAGUUCGUUCGAAGGUCUAGGUGAAGAAAACUGGGGAAGGCGGUGUGGGAGCUUCGGAUCAGGGAGCGCGAGUUUCAUCGAGCUCUUACAACGGAAAGCUAGUUCCGCUUUCGUCUCAUCUGUGACUCCAUUCUCGAAUGCAAAUUUGGAUUCCAGCUCGGUCACGUCCGUGACGGUGCUAUCGGAUACACUAGAAACCGCCUCGUUGGAUGCAUCACUUGGUUUGAAACUGAGUGACCUCAAGGCCAUCUUGAUGUCUUUUGCACCGAAGCUGAUGGAUCUUGCUAGAACAUCUUUUGUUUCCGUGGAACCAAGUGUUCUUGUCCACAGGCAUCGGAUCCAAGCCCACGAGAGCAAGGAGAGGGAUAAACCCAUGGAAUCUCGACUGUCAAAACAUACCACAAAUCACAACUAUAAGUUGCAAAACUCGAUAGCCGAGGAGAACAUAGUAAUUCCACGUAAAUAUAUAAUAAUACUGCUCUUAUCAGACGAUAAAAGGAGAACAUAAAUGCGGGGCUACUUUUCAACAUAACCUUAACGGGGUAGAAGAAACAUAAAAGGGUUUUGCUAAACAUUGGAAAUAUUGCCCAUCUGACAAGUUUCAAACCUAGAGGGGUAUGAGAAUUAAUUUGAGAGGUAAAAAGUCUCGGUCGCGAGAUUUCAUGUGAAGAGUGAUCCCCGGGCCGGAACUCUUUCGAGUUGCAUGUUGCUUCAGGAAUCACUCUCUAUCCAUGCUAGCUAAAUCGAAAGGGUUAUAAAAAGUAUUCUUAGGUUCGUUUGUGGCUUACAGAAAUCAUUUCCAGACUUUUGAAACGGCAACCAUACGGGGCUCUCAUUGAUUGUACAACUGAUGGAGCAUGUGAAAGUGUAAACCCACAAUCCCCACCCAGAAACAGAAAACAGACAAGUAAAGAAACGGAACAUCAAAGCAAAACUAGCAAGAGAUGCAAAACAGGCAGAAGAACGACCUCAGGUCGCUGUAAGCGGGAGAUCAGAAGAUGAAGAAGAGAGACGAGCCGCUGAUCGUCGAGGAGACGAGAGCGAGAGAAGGGUGUUGCACGAUCUCUGACCUCUUCCUCCUCUGAAUUUAUAAAGGCACACGAUCCAACCAAACUAAGAUGGUUGAGCUGCAAUUGCGGUAGCAGUCUUUUGUAGCCGUCAAACAUCCUGGCCGCGGUGUCGUGGAAGUCAAAACGGGUGGGGACUCAACUUUGAGAACGAAGGAAAAAGACGGCUGACAAGCGUGGAUUUGUUUCGUGGAACAGAGACACUUGAGAAAUGUUCAAACGUUUGCCUCCGCCAUGGACUCCAGAGGAAGGAUGUUGACAAGUCAAGGGGCAGCGAAAAUAUUGUAGACCCGAGCCACAUCACCGUGCCCAGUGGCAUGUAACUCUACAGCAUCACAUAGGCCAUGGCCUCCAGCAUUAAUGGCUCCUCUUGAUUCACAGUACUACGACUCAUAUAUCAUCAACUGAAUUAAAAUUAUGGUAUAAGAAUCGAGGAAGAAUAUAUAAUGUGUACACUCGAUGACUUGGUACCGAGGCAUAGCUGACAUGGCGUAAGAAUACUCUCACUUUUGGGAAGAAAAAGGAAACAAAAGUGAGAUCAAACUAAGACACGAAUCGGACUCGAGGUAGUAUGGAUCCAUCAAAUAAAGUUGUUCAAAUGAAAACAGCUGCCAAGCGGCUGGCAAAAUUGUUGCCCAAUCGAUUGAUAUGGUCUCAUGUUCAGACCAAGUCAAAGGUAAAACACGUUACAAUCAUGACUUCUCAUGAUAUAAUACGUAUUCUGAUAACUCUUGGACAUGGACGCUCCUAGGAAGAGCAAAUAUCGUGAACAUCCCUUUAUAGUUAGUGAUCCACUUCAUUCGAGUCUUUCUUUCUUUUCACCCGUUUGUAUAAACGAACCAAAUCAAUGUUGUUUACAUCCAUUCCUUACUCGACUCGGAUGAAUGUAAUAAAGUUGAUAUGGACCAAAUCAAAGUGACGAUUGAGAAGACGGAAGGGAGCAGGUGGGAGACACGGUCAAAUUUCUCAUUUCCAAUCCUCCUAAUAAGGUCGUCCGCUGAACACGCAAAUCUGUAUGCACGAAAAGCAGAGCUCGUGCAAGCAUGUAAUGACUACGACUGUCGUCCCUUUGGAAUUUGUCGACGGAUCCGCACCGAGAACAAGUCCAUCACGUACUUAUUUGGAGAACAUAUCCUGCAUGGGAAACGAAUAAAAACCCAACCAGCCGCAGAUCAACAUUCUGCGGUGAGAGGAAGCUCCACCGCUGCUUCGUCCGUGAGACAGCAGAGGAAGAUGGAUAAAGAAGCAGCAGCAGCAGACAAGGAACAAGGACCAAAUCUCUUCGUUCAAAUACGAAGAAGAAUGCAGCGCCGCUGACAAACGAAAUCUUUUAGUCGAGACCUAAAAUCAAGUUUGGACCAAUCACUGUCGCCAACAUUCAACGCUCACUGCAAACGAACGGUCAACCCCCAAUGACUUCAUUGGUUCUACCGCUGCAUCGUACGUUUCGCGGGAAAGGCGUACGUACGUUACCUGAAAGUAUUUCCGGUGCGUGUCACUUGUGACAGAAAGGGUACACACUAUAUUAAUUUAGGGAGCUGGACGAUCAGCAGCAGCGAACAAAAACCUUUUCGAAGGUGAGUACUAUUGACGCUUGCUUCCAACGACGAAAAGAUGGACCUUUUUGGAUGAGAGAAAUUUGUCUUAAAGAAAGGGGAGAUAGAAAAAAGGUCAGGAUGGGAUCUUGAAGAUCUUAUUGGUCAUUAAAUGGUUAAUCUACAUCGUUGUGUUUGUUGUGCUUUUGGACCUUUUUCUUUUGCUCCCUCCUCUGGGUUGCAUGCGCUCAUUCAUCUCGCUUUGGUACGUGCUCAUCUUCGAAAAUGUAAUCUAGCAGCCCAAGAAGAUAAUAUUUUCUUUUGAGUCGGACAUGAACCAGUCGUCUCCCCUCUCGUAAACCAAAGAGGAUUUAAGCGAUCUCAGCAGCAUGCAUCAUGCAUCAUGCAUGCACACCGGUCCCAUUCGUAGCCUGUUCUGGACUCCUGCGCGACCGUAGCAGCACAAUGAAUAAGAAGCAAGUUCUUGAGCUCGUGCUUGUAACGACGGCGAUCGAGUAGAUCACUAAUUCGGUCCAGCUUAAUGGAAAUUAAGUAGUCAACUAACUAACUAACAAUACGUGCCAAAUUGAACUAAGCCUGGGUGUUGACCUGUCACCCCCUCAGUUCCAAACACAGAGAAAUAUCAGAGACAUAGCAGGAGGAGAGGAGGGAUGCAAGUUGAAACCACUACGUAAUUGGGGUUGCAGUUCGGGUGAAGGGUAACCCAAUUAGAAAUCCUAGGAGCACAAUUUUGUUGCGUAUAUGUGCAAUCGUUGUUGGGCCUCCACCUACGCUUCGGUAUCUUUUUAAGGAUUGCUGCUCUUCCUUAUGACUUUAAUCAUAAAAAAUUCGUGAAAAUUUGAAUUCAGAAACCGACGAGGAAGAGAGAAACGAUGAGAACUCGAUCAUGUUGUGGACCUCAAAUUUAUAGUUGGGACGUCACAUUUAUUGUUGCAAUCUUCUUCCGGCCCUGCCACUGCGACUGGCGGGACAGCUCUGCCUCUCUAUUAUGGCAAAACACAUGUUGCUGUUUCGACCAGCUUCGCUCCUCCGUGGGUGGUGUGCUCAGGCUUACCACCCCGGAGAAAAAGAAGAGAAGAACGGACCGUCAGAAGGUGACUGUGACGGUCUUCCUGUCCACAUUACUGUUUCUGUCGUUUGUGGAGGGGUGCGAGGCUGGCCAGUACUGCUUCUGCGAGUGCAUGAAGAAACGCAUUCCUCCGGAGAUCGUAAGCCUUUUCAUCCGGGCUCGACCCAUCUCUGACAAAGCCUCAAGAAUUGAAUCGUGUAAUCACUUACUAUUAGUGCGCUGGAAUCUAUCAUCAAUAACGAACAAAAACGAAUCAUCGUUGUCGAUCAGCAAAUCAUGACAUAAAUCCACAGAAAAAGUGGAUUACUUCAAAGAGUACGAUGUAACCAACAACGCUUGUAAUUUGCAGACGCAGAGAAACAUGUGAAUACCACCAACUUAUUCCAUAUCUUUCUGAUUCUUUCUUUCCUCUUUCAAAACUUCCGGGCGAAUCCCGGCGUUAAUGAAUUAGACUUUGUUCUUUCGUAACGAACCGCUACAUGGACGUUCAUCCGUGACACGCCGACAGCUACGCUCCUGCUGCUCUUCCCAGUCUCUUCCUCAGUAUCUUCGCUCCCAUGUAUCUGCAGAUUUAGAAUGACACAACAGUUUCACAAGAUGGGAAAUCUAUAAACGGUCCAUCUGGAUUCUCUAACAUCUACCAGAAAUUCCGGUACGAUAAACCUUACCUUCCCAUCAUCAUUACGGUUGCCUGAGGAUUGGUUCCGGGGGAUCGGUCAAAAGUGGAACCAUCGACCACUCUGAGCCUGGACACACCGAGAACUCGGUACUCGCCGUCCACCACCUUCCCGACAUGGCAACCCCCGUGGUAGUGCCAUAUGGUGGUCACGCUGUCCCUGCAGAACUGCUCCACGGAUGCAGUGUCGUUGGUGUGCUUGGGUAUCAAGUUCACGUUCGCCUGCACGCUCAUGUUCAGCAGCAUUCGCAUCGUGUAGGCGUCGUCGACGGUGAGGCGGGCGAAGCGCUUGGUGCGCACGAUUUCCUCGAUGCUUCUGAUCCCGUACACGCAUCGCUUGAGGUCGUAUGGGUGGCUGAAAUAGUUGAAAGUGACGGAGGGGUUGUUGUCGACGUCGGUGUCGUUGAGUCUGAGACGACCUCUGGAGAGCGGCCCGUCGAUCUUUUCUAGGAUGAAGCCCCCCUGGAAUGCCUCCCGUGGCAGAUUCUGCUUGUCUCUGGCGUACCUCUUGGCGGCUUCAAGGCUACGCUGCUUGGGGGGUAUGGUGGACAGUUGCCCGAUCUGCACGAGUCCGCACAAAGUCGAUGACUAACUCAAUUUGGGAGACAAAUCAUCGAAAGCAAGAGGUGGUCGAAGCCAGCAACGGGCAGUGCUGCACCUCGGCUGACAUUAUGCCGUGGUGGCAUCGGAUGCUGUCGGAUGACUGGCCGAAGCCGCUGCUGGCCUCGAUGAACACGCCUUUCUUGGUGAUCCCAACGGUCUGGAUGAGGGACUGCCGCACGGGCUUCCUGGUGGGCAUGAAUAUGGAGUUCAAGGGGUUGUCCGACAUGCCCUUUCCGACGUGUGGGUUAUGCAGGACGAGCCGAACGUCCAGCUUCUUGAGGUGUUUCUUGUGCCCGAUCCCGCUCAGAAGCAGCAGCUGAGGACUGCCAAUGGCACCCGAUGACAAGAUCACUUCGCUGUGCCUCGCAUUCUUGAGAAGCGCCCGGUGUAGCUUGCCGUUCUCAUCCUUAAAUCGGACGCCCGCUGCCUUGGGCCGCCGCCCUGUUUUGGUCGAUUACUAUCAUAGUAAGGCUGUAGUGGUUUUGACUGAAACAUCAUCUUCCGGUGUUUGGAACCUUUACCUUUGGUGUCGAAGACGAUCUUCUGCACAGUAGCAUGAAGCAGCACCCUGAGGUUCUCUGGGUUUCCAGCGGCGAGAAGAUCUGCGGCGGUGUGGCGGAAGCCAUCCUUGUCGAAGAUGGUGCCGCCGAUCUUGGUGCCGUAGAUGUGGUCGUAGGUGUAUCCAUUGAACGGCGAGAAGCCGGCCUCGACCAGUCCAUCCCGCAGUGCAGCCUGCCAAGGCGCGACGUCCGGCCAGUAAACGAUCCUUCGUUCUACCCAAGGGUACGAUUCGUUCACCAGCUCCUCGUCCCAGCCAGCCGCCUUCACGAAGCUGGAGAACAGGUAGCAGCAAGCGAUUAGGAAGACUAUCCCACAUUCGACGCCCGGCCUCGGUCUGGGAUCGACACGCAGUGCUUACGAUAAGGUUUAGUCCGACGGUUUCACUCUGUCCGAAAGGUGUUCUGGGAAUCGAGGGGACCAAGCUCCGAGGUUUGGGAUGGAGAUAAGAGACGACAUUUAAUAGGACCGAUUGCGGUCAUCCAACAUUGCAGCAAAUUAAAGCAGGAAGCCGAUCGAGAGGACAAAGUUUUACUCCUAAGAGAACCAACCUCCACCAACUCCACUAAAUCGUGCAUUGGUCUCACCAAAUUCACGUUGCUUGGUGUUGCUAAAUGGAGAUCCCGAAAGAUAAUGCAAAAAAGCAAAGAGAAAAGAGAAGGAGGGCAAUUUGCUUUAGGAGAAAAGCACGGGGAAUUAGAUGAACGAAGCAGAGGCAGGUCAUGUUGGGAGGAAUUAUGGAACUUGCGGCGGGACAGAAGACUAACUAGUAUUAUAUGAGGAAUGAUGGAUGCUCUGAUCUCUUCAAUUUGCAGCGAACACCAUCGGUUCAGAGAGGGGAAAACAUGGUAGGAGUCAACAUGAGUAUAUUUAUUCCCUCUAUGGUGGUGGUGGAGGAUCUAACCUCUUUUAAUGUGUUGUGAGGCAUCCUGUUCUUGACUUGAUAGAUAUUCCCACCAAAAUAAAAAUGGAUUUCUACUUGAUAUCAAAGACCGUCAGUCACUAAAGCUUCCCUUGGAAAUGAGCAAUAAACAUUUUAUCUCAUCUAGUUGGCUGUUGGUAUUGUCAGCGUCACUCUUAUUGAAUGCACUAUCGCUGGGCUUCUCCUUGACAACGCAUCUGACACACUAUACGAACGCGAUUACGUGAUGCACAGUGUUACCUUCAGUUAUAAGGACAUGCACCAAACGGCAACAUGGAAUAGGGUGUUCGAGACGUUGUUCCAUUUAACCGCCGAGUCGAAUGCUACCAAGUUUAGCAUGAUAUAUAUAUAUAUAUAUAUAGAGAGAGAGAGAGAGAGGGGCUAAGGGGAUCACCGCUGAGCAAUGUCGAGAAAAAAAAGCAGCAACGGCAGAUGGAAACUAGGAUGAAAUUAUUGACUGAAACAUGUACCUUGGGCUGGCCCUGCUGUAGAAGCCAGCGUUAAUGCAAGUGCCACCACCCAAGACUCUGGCUCGCGUGUUGAUCACCCCGUCGGUGGAAAUGAAUGACUGCGACGGAGAGGCGGGGGAGGUGUCGGCCAGGCCGAUGUGGAAGUUUUGCAUGCGGGUUAUGUUACCAUUGCCGUAGGGAGAGCCACCCCUCUCCAGCAGCAGAACACUGUAGUUUUGGGAGAGGGUGGCAGCCAAGGGGCAUCCCGCCGUGCCUCCCCCCACAAUGAUGUAAUCGUAUUCCGCUGCUGGUGUCGAGGAGAAGCUGCUGGCUUCCCUGAGACGACGGUGCCUCACCUCGACGGCAUCCCUUCUUCCUGCAGCUCCAUCAAACAAGAGAUCAGCACUGGCGAAUUUUGGCUGCCUCCUUCCACAAAAGACAUCUCUGCAGCCGUACUCACACAAAUGUUACAGGUACUCGACGGAAAUCGCAAGAGUGCGUUGCUCGUCUCUAUACGGAGCCACACUCAUAGCUCCCAUUCGAGAACGAUUUAGAACUUAGCCAUGGUAAACACAAGUGACGUUGCUACAACUGAUUGCUUCGAAAAGGCGAAAAUGAAUUUGAAGAAACAAAGAAAACCACCAGUGGCUUUUGCCAUUAUAGUAAUGGCUUGAUUCUUUUGCAAAGUUCACAGCCACCUCAUAACUACUUUCGAUCGAUCGAGAGAGAGAGAGAAAAAGGAAAAAGCUACGAUUUGUGAAGGACAGAAAAAAAAAAAGAAAAAAAAACUCCGGAUUUUAUCAGAAGACAGAGAGACACGAAGGAAAGGAAAGCAACGAGGAAAAAGAAAGCACGGUAUGAUAGGAUAAGAAACGGCAGCAGAAAAUAAAGCAUCUCAACAUCAAAAUCAAUCUUCUUUCUCUGUGCCCGAGUGUUACCUGAACAGGAUUUUACAACUCCAGGCAAUUACGAAUACAGUGUCUAGCAAGCAAACAAUUCCGGCCACACUAUACAUUGGAAAUCCAGCAAAGAUUCCCCAUCGAAGAACCACCUAAUCCUCCCUAAAUGGGGGAAAACGAAGAAAAAAGUAGUCAACAGAGGGAAAAAAAUAUCUGACCUUGGGUUGAUCCAAGGAUGCUGAGAAACAUCAAGAUCUUAACGAGAAGUUCUCCCUCCUUCGAUACCAUGAUUACAAAACUAAGCACCGCCUCUAAAUUCCUUGCCAGUGUCAACUCUCUUCCCCUCGGAGUAGACGCAACCUCCGUUGAUAAAGCUUCAAAGCAUUUAAGAGCGACAACAGACUUCAGAGAAGGCAUUUAAUAAAACAUGAAUGCUGGGCAGAGUUAGCACUGUUCACAACCAACUCAGAAAAUUCAAGCUGCAUUACUAAAGAGAGAGAGAGAGAGAUCUGGGCAGAGUUACCACUGUUCACAACAGACUUCACUGAUUUCCCAUGUUAAUUGCCGCUGAAUUUGCUUGCUUAAAAGCAUCCUACAAGAUCUGAGGAAGAUGUUCGUGAUAAUCUCCCUCGUCCUUAUAGAAAAAGGAAAUGAAGAUGCUUGACAUCCCUUCUACGAGCUUUCCAGUGACAACAGCCACUUGGAGGUUCCAAAUUUUAGAGCACUAGUUCACAUCACAUCCAUUGGCUUCUCUCUAGUUUGUCAUUUGACGAGGCUUCACUCGGUCACUUCCUCUGGUCGGAUGGCUUGCUCUUCAAAAUGGUCACUUAUAUCGGUCUCCUCACUCAAAAAUAGCUAUCUGUUCCAUAACAAGCAAUUUCCUCCCAUGGGAUGGAUACAAGGAGAGACCGUGUGAGAUCUAGCGUUUGGAAAACCGUAGCUAUCUCCGAUUCAAUUAAGACAGUGAUGUAUACCAAAUGCAGUUUAUGCUCAGCCGAAGUCACCAAAUAUAACAAUUUCACAAUGCGCCAAGUGCUCCUUUUACUCUGGGUUGUUGCUCCAUGGGACCAGGUUUGGAAGUUUAAGGUUGUGUAUGUGUUUUUGGGCCUUCCUUCUGCUGCUUCUCUCUCUCUCUCUCUCUCUCUCUCUCUCGGGAAACUCGUCUCUUGAUGGAGAUGAAAAAGGUGACUCUGCUCUCUCGUCACUCGCUUUGCUGGCAGCACAAUUCUCCCAUCGCUGCUACUGCGAGGGAACUGCAGUAACAUUUCGAUGACGUGACACCAUAACUGACUGCUUGAACGGAACACUCGCUCGAUCUCUUUAAGAAGCUUAAAUGUAGUCCCGGCCGGCCUAUUCACUGACUUGCUUUCUACCAUACGUCACAAAGGGGUAACACGGUUGCAAAUGCUGCAUAUUACUCGUUCCAGUCACAGCUAGCUACCCAAGGAAGCUCUUAUUUCGGACGAGUCGCAGUAAAUCGAAUAGUUAUACGAGUCAUCGAAAAAGAUGGCAUCAACUUUGUUUCGGGGUUCGGUGAAGGGAAUAGUACGUGCGGACUGCAGCGAGAGUUUCAACAGCAGACUGCAAACCUUUGUUAUUAUGCAUGCGCUUAAGGUGGGUGGUGGGACGAGCUCCGUAUAAAGGCUACAUGCAUGGCUGGGAGCACAAAAGGCUUUUGCACACCGAAGGCCAGACCGCGAUCGAAGGUGGGAAUGGGAAUUCGCUGCCAUCCUUGGGAAGCAAGUCGUUGGAUGGGUGUGCGAGCCAAUCAAUGUCUUCUCUACUAGUGGACCAUGGACUAUGCAAUGGGCAAACAAACAAGUGUGAUGAACAAUGUAUACUCGAGUGUACAGAUACAUUUUGGGAACCGAGGGAUGGCUUAAAUCAAAUAUGGAUGGUUCAUUGGAACAUGGUUUCUUCUUCAUCAGGGUCCCGUGAUGAUGAAUCUCGUUUGUGUGCACCAGGCAAAUUCAUCCACGAUGAUGGAUGGAUGGAUGGAGGGAGGGAGGGAGAUAUUCCAAUAGCAGCCACCAAACCUAUAAUUGAACCACGCAUACGCUUGGGAAGAGAGAUGUUCCCCCAUUGGAAACUCCUUAAUGUCACUAGACAUAACUCGAGGAAGGAAGAUAAUAGAUGUGUCAAUCAGUAGUAGCAUGCACAUACAUGCAUUUACGUACUAGUUAAAUUCGAUUGCGGUUCACAUAGCAUGUAUGACGCCAUGCAUGUCCGUACCCACAAUAUGUACUAGGACUGCGGAUGUAGCAGGCCAGACCUCGGAAGAUACAAGUCCGGCCCAUUACCAGCCCUAAAUAUUCAGACUCCUAUUUCAACUGGGCCGCCAUGGCUUCCCCAGGAAGGGGCCGGAUAGGUCGGAGAGCCCAAAGCGGACCUGCGAAACAGGCGUGAGGGGAAGUGAAGCGCGACAAGGAGAUGAGCGAGAGAGAGAGAGAGAGAGAGAGAGGAGGGAAGGUGACGGUGGACGUGAGGUACGCGCAGUGGAAGUCCCUCGUCCCCCUUCUCUACGACUGGCUUGCCAACCACAACCUCGUCUGGCCCUCUCUCUCCUGAUGGGACUUCUCCCUCUUCUUCUUUCUUCUCCUCCUCUUCCUUGUCUUCCUCUUUUCCUCAUUCCUUCUUUGGUUUGCGGAUCAUGACUAGGGUUUUCCCGAAAGGAACUUGUUCGACGGUUUUGCAUCUUUCGUCUUAGGGUUUCCACUUCUUUGAAUAAAAUGGGAUAAUCCAGGAAUAGUAAGGGAUUCUUUCUGGUGCUUAAAUUGGUUUGGUGAACCGAGUAACUAAUCUCUUUUUUGCCUCAUGCACCUCAUUGUAGCUUUAGUCUUCAUUUCUUCCUCAUCUGUGUAGGUGGGGGCCUCAGCUUGAUCAAGCAACAUACAAGAAUCGCCAGCGUCUGUACCUCUCUGAGCAGGCAAGUGAACCUAUAUUUUUUAGUUUCAACCAUUAUCUUGCCCUGCAUUGCAAUGCAUCCUUUCUCUGUUGCAUAAAUGAAUUCUGCUUAUGGCCACUAAGCCUAUGCUCGAUCCAUCUACCUGCAUAAUUACAAAUAUUUGCCGCCCAUUAUGUGAUUGAGAACUCUGUUCACUCUUGUUCGAGCAGGCUUGCUUGACUGUAUUAUUUCCCUUCAUAAUCUCAUUGAUAUUCAUUUUAUGUGCCUUGUGCUAGGUCUAAUAAUUAUUUCAUUUUGAAUAUUUAAAACUUCUUAUUCACUAGUUAUUGACAGUUCAAAAACUUUGCAACUAAGUCCUCUAUAAUGUGGUUUUGGCAAUAUCAAAUAUGUUGAUGUCUCUUUUGCAUGACCUGUGUUGCAUGCGAUAUCAGACCUAAAUUCUCCUGUUUAUAUGUAAAGGUCUAUAUAUUGUUGGAUACCACCAUUGACUUCUUAAUUCUCUUCUACGUUUCAUUUCAAAAUAAUUAUGAGACCAAGAGAUUGCACAGCAUGAAUAAGUGCUUUAACCAUAGAGAACACGUGAAGUGAGUUUAUUUUCUCUAAACUCUUGCUAUUUUCUUUAAGGUAGAUUACAAACAAUCCGAGGGACUAAUGAAGUCAAACUGCAAUGCAAAUUAUCUUUUGGAGAAUUGGUUCUAUACAUCAUAUUGUCAUGAUUGAAAAGAUUAAAAUCUAAAAGUUGAAUUUCUAAAAUCCCAAUGGGAUAGAAACCUAUUGUCAAAUCUUAUCGACUGUAUACAAAAAUUUCUUUUUAAAAAAUGGUUUAUUUCUUUACAUUGCCUAACUCUGGUUGAACUUAGGUACUGUAGAUGCUAAUUGUGGGUUUAAGAAUGCAAUUUAUGGACCUAUGAAAGCUGUUAUUUUCUUCACUUCACUUGAUUUUGAUUAAACUGAAACUAUAUAGAUUUUGUAUUCAAUUUGAUGUUUCUAUGUAUGAGUGCCACUACAGGUGUUGUUGCACUGUAACUUUCAAUACUAUCUCCCUCCCUCAGAUUAAAUUGGAAGCCGUGCCAAUCAAUAUGUACAACAGGAGUGGACAAUCCAUAUGAAGCGGAUGAUAAGGUUAACCAGCCAAAUUAUUUAAACUGUCGGCUAGUUCUUUAAUAGCCACAAUGAGGUUAAAAAUUGUUGCUAUCAUGCAACUAAUAUUUUACUUUCUUAUUUAUAAUUGGCUGAAGUGUUGAAGUAAUUACCAAAGCACAAAAAACUCUAUAUAUACUUAUGAAAUGGGCUUGGCAAACAGGAAGGGUCAAGAUUCUCAUAUGCAGCAUUUCUAUUGAAGUUUGACAUGUGAAUGAGCUAUUAUGAAUGUUGUUGUAAUGUGUAUUUAUCUGAAACAAAGCAAAAAUAGUUUCGUCACUUGAAGGGAAAAAAAAACACCUUUAGUUCGCGAUGAGAGGUGGGUAACGUGGCAAAGUGUGCUUUGCUUUCUCAAUAUUUAAGUGCAUAAUAUAUAUGCUAGUUUGAAUAUAUUUUUAAAAUAUAUUUGGUGUGUUGUAUUGCUCUCUAACUGUCUCUAUAAGCAAGAACAUUGUUUUUAUGUUCAGUUGGCGUUUGAAUUUUACUUAUGUGCAAACAACUUAUUUUUUUUCGUCAAGGUUUUGUAUCAUAUUUAUUUUUCACUUUCAUUUAUUCUUUUUCUUACAUUUUUCAACGGUACUGGAGGACAUUAUGAGAUCAUCUUAUUGUUGUCGAUACAUAUCUUCUGCUGUUGUGGAAUAGAGAAGGAUUUUCUUUGAGUUAUAUGUUUGCUGAUGUAGACUUUGUCAAAAGUGUGUAUCUAAUCAGUUGUAACUGUUGAAUCUCGAAUUUUGAUGAUGAAAUCAAUUGAUGAGUUAUGAUCUAAUGUGCGUUUGAGUGACGCAGGACUAACUUCGAUUAAGGAAAGACAAUUCGAUUAAAGCAGGAAGAAUCAUAUGUUGAGCCGGAGUGGAACAUGUCAGAAGAUUGGAUGUCGGGCUGGAGGAAUAGUCGAUGUGUCGGAAGGACUUCGUGCUAUGAGUUCGGGCAUCGGGCCGAAGGAUCGGGCAUUGCGCUAGGAGAUUGGAAGUUGCGGGAAUCAACAUGCGGAUUGGGCAAUACGCCAAAGGAGAGGACGAAGCGCCGAAGGAUCAGAUGAAGCGCCGGAUUAACCAAUGACAUGUCGGACAACAUAGGAUUCAUGCUUGUAAUCGUGUGUCUAAAUCGAGUUAGUUUAGGACUAUUUGAGUCGGUUUUGGGAUGAAACAAUGCCAACUCAAUUAGGGGCCAAUUGGGCCUGAAUCAGGGCUGAAUUGGGCUUAUUGUUUGGCUCAUUCAAUGACCUAUAGUAGGGUCUGUCGAUAGUACUGCCACAGUCUCCCAAACUAUGUCAGGCUGUGGUACCGCCCAGAUACAGUCUUCCAGACUAUGUUAGACGGUGGUACCGCCAGAUUAGGCGAUGGUACCAUCUAGUGUCAGUGUUAGAUUGGGCGGUGGUAUCGUCCAGUGUCAGACUGACAGGCAGUGGUAUCGUCCAGUGUCAGACUGACAGGCGGUGGUACCGCCAGUUAUCAGUCUGUCAAGCGGUGGUACCACCAAUAUCCCGAAAACUUGGGAUGAGACCGUUUUGGCUCUAAAUUUGAAUCCAUUUAGAGCCUAUAAAUACCUCCAUCAUCUUUGCUCGGUAAACAUAAGAACUGAGAACAAAAAAGAACGAAAACGCUGUUGUAAUAUUGUGAGAAUUCCUCUCAAGCUCUAAGUGUUGGGUUAAGUUUAAGAGAGGGGUGAGUGGUUAUAAAAGUUAUCUCCUAAACUUGUGAAAAGGAGAAAAGGGUGUAAAAGGGUAGUUCAUUUUCGCCUAUUGAAAGAAGAUCGGUUAAUGGAAGCCGGUAGCCUCAACGAAGGAGGAAUCGAGAGUGGAUGUAGGUCACGACGACCGAACCACUAUAAAAUUGGUGUGCCUCACUUUCUCUGCUUGUUUACUUAUUUUGCAACUGCUUUACCUGCUCAUUAUUACUCUUGCAAAUGUUUUAAGUUUAAACAUCUUUUCGAUACGAUUUUAUCGUACGAUAUUUUCGGAUCGACGUCGUUUUCCUAGAAGCACUAAUUCACCCCUCCUUUUAGUUUCGAUUUUUAUCCUAACAGUAACGUUGCAGACUGAUGGUUCCGUACCAAUAGUUGUGAGAUUGUCAAACCAAGAGUUGCCGCCGCAGAGCAUAUAUCUCAGGUUACUUGGUUACAUAGACUAUAUUGGCGACAUAAACAUCUACCAUUUUGCAUGGCUGCUGUAGAAUUUUUAUUUAUGUUAGAACUUGGGACUAAUUCUUCUAGAUUACAUUUUGAAAUGAAAUGCAACAUUCCAUUUUAACUACCCAGAUUCAUUCAAUAAAGCUGACAAAUAAACAAUAGAAAUUGUGAUGUUGCUUACUCUAGUCACUUGCACGGAUCUACCUGGUGAAAUAUGCUUGCAUGCCUUGCAAGUUAAAUAAUUUCUUUUUUUUCUUUUGUGGUGCUAAAAUGUUAACUGAUGUGAUGCUUGCAGUUCAAUGAAGAAACUCAUUCUCCAUUUGUUAAGGAGUACAAAACAAUUAUACAUCCAGGGGAGGUACGAAAUAAUCAGUGUCUUUCACUUAUAUGUCCCUCUCUUCCUCACUGAAUCACUGUACAUCUAGAAUUGGUGUUUACCAGAUUCAAUCUGAAGAUUUCAGAUAUGACUCUUAUCAUGAUAAUCUUGUGAAAAUGAAUCUUGAAUGUGAUUGCCAAAUUUAGUAUUUCAGUAUUACUUUUCAAAAAUAGCCAGUUGCCAUGUGUAAUAAAGCAGUUAUGCCUCUAAUAGUGUAUGUAGCUUGCUUAAAGAAAUAGUUUUAGCAACAUAGGUUUUGCUACUAUGCUUUUCAGACAUUAAAUUAUGUUAGGUUAUUCUGUUGAAUAUGAAUGGAGCAGUUGGAUUCAACAUUUUCCCACUUGCUUUGGUGAUUUUUUGAUGAGCUUUUGUAUUUAGGAACAAUGAUUUGUGUUCUAGGUGGCUAGAUCUAUAUGGAAUUGGAAAAUCAGGUCCUCAUUUAUGUCUGGCUACGUGCAGGUCAACAGAAUUAGGGAGCUUCCUCAGUACAGCAAAAUAGUUGCAACACAUGCCGACAGUCCUUAUGUAGUGAAAAUAUAUUGUUGCGGUACCAUUUUGAGUUUAGUUCACUUUCAUUGGGCUUUCUCUUAUUUCUCAAAAUUCUUAUGAUGGUUCUUAUCUGGGAUGUUGAGCUGCAACCUAAUCAUCAUCCUAUGUUAGGAGCUACUGAAUCUCGUCCAGAUUUGGUUAGUCAAUAGUCUAAAUGCUUUUGUGUUUCAGUAAUGCUAACAUUUAUACAUCCUUCUGUUUGGUUAUGUAGUGGAAAUCUUGUUCUUUUACCAAAGACUAUUAAAAAUGAUGUUAAUAUUUUAGAUUAAGAAAUAUUGCGGGUCAACCAAUGAGCAUUUGUUAAGAAGACAAAAUGUUUUGCAACUUAGAUGUUGUAGGUAGUAUUCAAUUUACCAUAAAGUUCACAUUUUAUAGAUAUUGAUAAGUCAUCAACAAAAUGUAAAAUCUGCACUGGCUAUGUGUCCUACUGAACCUUUUGUGCUUUCUGGAGGUCUUAGCUCAUUCUUCUUAGUAUCAUUUUAAAUUGGGUUAAGGUUCAUUUUAGCUCUUGUGGUUUUGCUCAUGUAUCACUUAAGCCCUUGUGGUUUAUUCAUGUCUAAAAUAACUCUUAUAUUUUUAAAAACAUAGUAUAUAAGUCUCUUCCGUCAUGUCUGAGUUAAUAGACGUUAGAGUCUGCUUAUGUGGCAUGCUAACUUAUAAUAAACUAUUAAUAUAAUAACACAUGUAAUUUAAGUUUAAAAAAGGUUCAUUCUAGCUUUGUUUUGGUUAUGGACCACUUAAACCCUUAUAGUUUUGCUCAUGUCUAAAAUAAUGUAUACGUUUUCAAAAACAUAGCAUAUAAGUCAUUUUUGUCAAAUCUGAGUUAACAAACGUUAGAGUUUGCUUACAUGGCAUGCUGACUUACAAUUAAAAAAAUUGAGACUACCAUCAAUGACGGGAGGAGGCGUUAUCGUGAAAGCGAUCACCAGCAGUAGCACCCAACCGCUACUGCUUAGCAGGGCGUUGUAUGCACACAGCCUCUCUUGCAUUGACGACAAGCUCAAGAGCUUUCGAUCCUGCCUUAGGUGGAUGUGCAUCAACCGAUCCGACGCUAGGCAUGCAAUGGUCUCUUGAUUCCUCUUCCUCCUCCUGGGUAUCUUCGUCCCCACCGCCUCCCACUUCGUCCUCUCCUGUAUCUUUUACCGGUCGCGCCUACGACGUGUUAGUCUAGCUCUCCCUUACCUUCGCCUCUGAUCUCUCCUACCUCUACCUCUCCGCCUUCGUCCGUUGUUACAACCUUUGCGACGUCCUCUUCCUCGACGAGAUAGACCUUUUUUUUAAACUUAAAUUACACAUGUCAUUAUAUUAAUGGUUUAUUAUGAGUCACCAUGCCAUGUAAAUAGAUUGUAACGUUUGUCAACUCAAACUUGACGGGAGGGGCUUAUAUACUACGUUUUUAAAAAUGUAGGGGUUAUUUUAGACAUAAACAAAACAAUAAGGGUUUAAGUGCUCCAUUACUAAAAUCGCAGAGAUUAAAAUGGAUCAUUUUUUAAAAAACUUAAAUUACACGUGUCAUUAUAUUAAUAGUUUAUUAUUAGUCGACAUACCACAUAAGCAGAUUCUAAUGUCUGUUAACUCAAACUUGACGGGAGGGGGCUUAUAUGCUACGUUUUUAAAAAUAUAGGGAUUAUUUUAGAAACGAGUAAACCAUAAGGACUUAAGUAGUCUAUGGCCAAAACCACAGGGGUUAAAAUGAACCUUAACCCUUUUAAAUUCUAUAAUCUUUUCUCUUAUUAAGUAUAGGCCUUCCUGCAUUUGUUUGUUUUAGUAGUCAUGCCACUUAUUUGGAAUGAGUUUUAUCAUACAAGGUUGCUAAGUCCACAUAUUGAAAAAUGCAUUUUAUUAUUUUUUCAAUCCAAGGGUCUUUAUAUAAUCUCUCCCACUUUAACCUUUGGUAUCCUUGGAAGGGGUUUGCUUGUAUAGUUUGGAAUUGUUUUCUUUUUGUUAUUUUGUGGGACGAAGGAAAUUCUUUUCUUGUUUUACUCGAAGCAACAGUUAUUUUAGAUUAUUUUAGUGUUUAUGGAGGUAUCUGCAAAGAUGGUCCAAUAACUUGCAUGGAAUGCAUGGCUUAGUGAUUUAAAAAGCGAUAGGUGCCAAGGUCCAAAAAUGCCUGAAACGCUAGGCGCUCGGCCAAGCAAAGCGAGGCACUCUAAAAUCCCAAAAUAUAAAAAAUAUAUAAUAUAAUUAAAAGUAUACUUAUUUAAAUUAAAAAUAUAAUAUUAAAUUAAAAAUAUACUGUUAACAAUAUAUUACUUAAGUUAGAAGAGGAGAAAAAGAUAUUAUCUGAAAUAUUAAAAUAUAACAAAUAAAUAAUAUAAAUAAAUAAUAUAAUUAUUUAAAUUAAAAUAUAAUAUUAAAUUAAAAAUGUACUAUUAGUCGUAUAUUACUUAAAGUUAGAGGGGGGAGAAAAAAAUUGUUAAUAGUAAUAGAGGGAGAUAACAACAGCGCUGCGAACAAUAGCAACGACAGCGGUUUAGUAUAUUGUUAACAAUAUAUGACUUAAAGUUAGAGGGGGAAAAAAAUGUUAACAGUAACAGAGAUAGCAGUAGCGAUAGUGGAAGCUGUGGACAGCAACGGCAACAACGGCGAAAGCUGAGGAUAGCGACAGCGACGGGAGCUCCAGAGGGCAUCCGUCGGUGGCGGAGGAACCUACGGUCCUCUCCCUUGAUAGUGGAGGUAUGCGACAGCAGAAGGAAGCUAUGGGGCCCGUCAGACUCGUUCGUUGACAAUAGAGGAAGGCUCGGUCCGCUGCGUCUGCAGCGAAGGCAAUGAUAGAAAGCGUCAGUGGCGGAGACAGGAGCGCUAGAGUUCCUUGGGGUCGCGCAGGCUUGAAGUGUGGUUUUGAGGUAAGAAACUACGAACCGAAUCAACCUUAAACCUAUUCGGUUCGCCUAAUAGAGUUAGGCGCUUGCCCGAAGUGCCCAGUGCUUGCGUUCGGGCGGGCGCCCAAGCGGUGCCUCAUUGAAGCACGCCGCCUAGUGCACACAUGAGGCGCUUGGGCCUUGCCCCUCGCCCCACCCGAGCGCUUAGGCGAGCACUCGAGCGCAUAUUUAAAUCACUGGCAUGGCUUAUAGUAAUUAUAUUCUACUAAUCACUUUAUCCAUAUAAAGAAGACCACAAUAUUAUUUCUCAAUCGUUAAGGACUAUUGGGUAUCACUAUUCUGUCAUGGGAAAUUUAAGAUUGGUUCAGUUAAAAUUGCCCACCCAUAAUCAUGCAACAGUGUCUUUUAAUGCAUAUGGUUCAUCGACAUUAACGUUCCAUAACAAACUGCUACUUUAGCUUGCUAAUGUCCACAGUUUACAUGAGUAAGGUUCUUUAUGAAGUUGUUUGUUGCAUCAAAUCCAUGGUUAUAAUUCUUUCUCAUUUGCUUAUGAUUUUUCCCCCUUUAGAAACAUUGUCCUUCGUAUUCACGUAACCUUGAAGCUUUCCUUCUCUCCUCUUGUAGACAUUUUACCAUAGUUUUGCAUACUAUAGGGAAGGACAAUGUUGCAGAUGCGCAGAAGGUACUCCUGUGUGAUUUUUUUCAUAUGACUUCAUACUGUAUGAUUCUUGAACAUUAUUCACCUUAUUUGUCCAAAUUUGAGGUUUCUAAAUAUUUGUUUCACUUUUCUGGGUUAUGUUGCUUUUUCUUCCUCCUAUGUUUGCCAUGCUUGAUUAGACAUUUUUCUGUUUUAUGACGAACUUAGAAGAAGUUGUUUGUCUGUCUCAAUAUUAUUUUGUUUUUAUACUGACAACACCUUUUAACUACAUUGAAGUGAACAGGAACUUUGUAGUGUAGGCGGUUGGCAGCAGUCCAGUAUUAUUUAGUAGAGCCUUGUUCACCACUGGGUAAGUCCAGUGAUGAUUUUACCUGCGGUACAGUUCAUAUCGGAUCGAGCUAAACUUGUUUUGCCAGAAUGCAAUUCUAGGAUGGUUUUACCUGUUAAGUAUCAUGUAGUAGAGCCUUGUUCACUGCCAGGUAAGUUUCAUUAUGAUGAUUUUCCCUAUGGUACAGUUCAUAUCGGAUCGAACUGGAUGAAAUCACAUGGUCAACAUGUCGAUGAUUGUCGGAAUGGUAUACACUGGCCUGCACCGACCUGUAUGGGCAAUGUUUAAAACCUUGCAGCAUUCCGAAUGCAUGGGACUUAAAUGUUCCAUUGGUGCUGAUGGAACAUUUUAGUUUUCUAAGGGUAAUAAACAAUUAUACUUCAUUUGUCCUAAAGUUUGGUAUCAUUUGAUUGUGGCAAUGCAUUGCCCCUUUAGUGAUGCACACAAGCAUGCGAUGAUGGUAAGCACUCGAAGCCUUCUUCACUUGUUUACACGCUGCUUUUAUCCCUAUUAUAACUUUUGUGGUUGUUCAUUGUAGGGUCAUCACCUCAUGACCCCGACCCUAGACCGUGCUUGGGACACUUCAAUCGCAAUGUUGGCUCUCCCAAAGGUGCGCAAUGACUUGCAAAAUAAAACAGUCGUAAUUUGGUAUCAUGAGUAGGCUGCUUGACUCCAGAUUUAAUUGGAUGAGUUAGGGCAAGCCAAUGCCUCCAUGGCGACAAGGCUCUCAAAGCUACAACAGCAAUUGGAGGUAGAGAAACAUGCGACAUAUGAUGCUCAGGCCGAUCAAUGUUGUUACCAUGACAUGGCAUUGAAGUCCUAGUUUGAAGUCUGAUGAUCUCCACCAUGUGGUGAAGGACCACUGUGGACAACUUGAAGAUGAAGAGGCUCAUCGUCUCGACUACAAGACCCAAGGGGGCAUAUUUGGAAGGACACAUGAAAUAUUAGUAAUGUCUUGGAGUAUUGAAAUGUAUUAGCUGAAACAUGGAGCCCAUUAAAAAUUAUCCAUUUAAUAAAAAUAUAAAAUCUAAAUUGCAACAGCUUGUUGAAUGAUAUGUUUGGGCAUGUGAUAGCAAGAUAAUUGAGACUUUUGAUAAGUUAUCGAUGAAAAGUUAAAUCUGGAAUAAUAUAACAUUUCGUUCAAUAGGUAUAUUUAUUUUUGAUGAUAUUGGCUUGAAUAAGAAGAUCAAAAUUGUAUUUUGUUUGACUUAAAUAGUAAUCUCUUCAGAAGAUGAGAUUUCUAUCCCAAAAUGUAGCUAAGAGAGCAAAGAUAUAUGAAAUUAAAUCAUUCAUGUUCAAAAGUUUUAAGAUCUUGUAUUUUAAUAUCAUCAUCAUUAAUAAUUAUAUUAUAUAUAUAGAUAGAGCAAAGGAUAGAGGUAUCUCGAUCCAUCUUUCAACUUUGGAACGAAUAGAGCAUUAUCAUAAGCACUUGAUCGAAAUGCUAACAUCAUACAAGUAAAUUCGACAAACUAAGCUUUUUGAAGUCCAUAUAAUACCUUACAUAAUUGAUAAACUUUUCUCAAAUGGAUAAUCAUAACUAAGAAAAGAUUACAUAAUAUACUUCUUGAACGAGUCUUUAUCAAGGAAAGCUUUUGUUUUUUUUGACAUUUAUUUAGUAAAGCAUCCAGGGAUGUGUAGCUAAAAGAGAAAUAAAUGUUCCAACUAUAAUUAAUAUGGCACCUGAAACAAAAUUUUCCCUCAUAGUUAAGUAUCAUGUUCUUUAGCAAACGGAGCUUUGUAUCACUCAAUAGCUCCAUUAGAUCAAGUCUUGAUCUUAUAAAAUCAUUUACAUUUUGAUAUGACAUAUUCUGGUAUUGUCAACGUGGCAACAAUGAGGAAGGUCAAGAUUGACGCGAUACGAUGAGUCAGUAUGAUAUCUCAAACUUGGAUAGGACGAUCGUUUGCUCCCGCGCUAUUCGAUGUCGUACGAGAUAGUACAGCAUAGCAUCGAGCUGCUCCAAAAAGCUUAGAAUGGUGCCGCACGGUACGGAUCCGUGCAUGUCAAUUAGCGCUCGCUCAAGAGGUACAAGCCAACUGUCCGAGGAGUCGACCGUCAUUAAUAGAUCACAUAUGACCAAUCCUUGUUUGCAGGCAUAAAAGUCGACCCUCGAUCGGCAUUAGGAGGAUGACUCGAACACUUCAACUCCACUUAACCCCACCCAACACUGACUUGACCUUCUAAGGGGCCAAGUCGGAAAACCCAUCUCCCGGCUUAAGCCUUUGUGCGGGAACGUGGUAGAAAAACAAUAGCCCGCCAAGGAAAAGACCACACUCGGGUGACGAAGCUUUGACCCAACCUAAUAUCGAACUAUUCAGCUCAAGCCUCCAUAUGGGCGACCGUGCGCACUUGGGAUCGGACCAAGUCGUGCUGACAUCUUGGCCAUGGAGUAAAUUUUUUUAAUAUUUUUAGAGUUAGAAGGAGGGUCGAUGUUGUAAGAGUGCUCAUUCAACCCGGGCAAACGUUCCGGAAAGGUGCCACCCGUUGCUCACUCGACCUUCGGGUUCGGAGGACAACUCCCCCUUCAAACCUAGAAGGGAAUGCUCCGACCUUCACCCCAAAUCGCUAUUGGUGGCUAUUCAAUGACUCUGGGCUCUCACCUCCCAGGACCACCACUAGACAGUCUACUAUCUCAGUCAAGGCGUUCCUCAGCCUUACUCAGCAAGUCCAAGCACUAGCAGGAAUAAUAUAGACUACCAUCCCUCUCAUUCCCCAGUUUGCCCAACAGGCAAUGUUGCCCCAACGGCUGCUACCACGGGACUACCCGACCCUCAUUACUAUGCCUUAAGAACCUUCUCCGGUUAGCCAACAACCCCGAGCAGCAGGUGCUAACCCGUUGACCGAGGGGCACUCGAAGGACUAGAGGUCGAUGCUAGAGCACAAUGCUCCUGGUCCCCGAUGCGCCAUUCCGAGUUGCCUCGAGCCAGCUACCUUGUCAUCCAAUUCAGUUGACUCUCUUCUAGCUAAGUUAUACUUAGUCAAUCGACACCUAAAUGAGGUCUAAAGAAAAUUCUACAAAUCAGAGGAGCUCGGAGAGACCCCCUCAACAAGGUCUCCCUUUGUACAGGAGAUCCAAGACAAACCAAUACCGCUCAACUUCUGCUUCCCCAUGCUCGAGGCUUACAAUGACAGGAAUCCUGAGCUUUAGUGGGAACUCCGGUGUUGGCAGGAGCUUGGUGUUGAAUCUCGUAUUUUGAUGAUGAAANNNNNNNNNNNNNNNNNNNNNNNNNNNNNNNNNNNNNNNNNNNNNNNNNNNNNNNNNNNNNNNNNNNNNNNNNNNNNNNNNNNNNNNNNNNNNNNNNNNNNNNNNNNNNNNNNNNNNNNNNNNNNNNNNNNNNNNNNNNNNNNNNNNNNNNNNNNNNNNNNNNNNNNNNNNNNNNNNNNNNNNNNNNNNNNNNNNNNNNNNNNNNNNNNNNNNNNNNNNNNNNNNNNNNNNNNNNNNNNNNNNNNNNNNNNNNNNNNNNNNNNNNNNNNNNNNNNNNNNNNNNNNNNNNNNNNNNNNNNNNNNNNNNNNNNNNNNNNNNNNNNNNNNNNNNNNNNNNNNNNNNNNNNNNNNNNNNNNNNNNNNNNNNNNNNNNNNNNNNNNNNNNNNNNNNNNNNNNNNNNNNNNNNNNNNNNNNNNNNNNNNNNNNNNNNNNNNNNNNNNNNNNNNNNNNNNNNNNNNNNNNNNNNNNNNNNNNNNNNNNNNNNNNNNNNNNNNNNNNNNNNNNNNNNNNNNNNNNNNNNNNNNNNNNNNNNNNNNNNNNNNNNNNNNNNNNNNNNNNNNNNNNNNNNNNNNNNNNNNNNNNNNNNNNNNNNNNNNNNNNNNNNNNNNNNNNNNNNNNNNNNNNNNNNNNNNNNNNNNNNNNNNNNNNNNNNNNNNNNNNNNNNNNNNNNNNNNNNNNNNNNNNNNNNNNNNNNNNNNNNNNNNNNNNNNNNNNNNNNNNNNNNNNNNNNNNNNNNNNNNNNNNNNNNNNNNNNNNNNNNNNNNNNNNNNNNNNNNNNNNNNNNNNNNNNNNNNNNNNNNNNNNNNNNNNNNNNNNNNNNNNNNNNNNNNNNNNNNNNNNNNNNNNNNNNNNNNNNNNNNNNNNNNNNNNNNNNNNNNNNNNNNNNNNNNNNNNNNNNNNNNNNNNNNNNNNNNNNNNNNNNNNNNNNNNNNNNNNNNNNNNNNNNNNNNNNNNNNNNNNNNNNNNNNNNNNNNNNNNNNNNNNNNNNNNNNNNNNNNNNNNNNNNNNNNNNNNNNNNNNNNNNNNNNNNNNNNNNNNNNNNNNNNNNNNNNNNNNNNNNNNNNNNNNNNNNNNNNNNNNNNNNNNNNNNNNNNNNNNNNNNNNNNNNNNNNNNNNNNNNNNNNNNNNNNNNNNNNNNNNNNNNNNNNNNNNNNNNNNNNNNNNNNNNNNNNNNNNNNNNNNNNNNNNNNNNNNNNNNNNNNNNNNNNNNNNNNNNNNNNNNNNNNNNNNNNNNNNNNNNNNNNNNNNNNNNNNNNNNNNNNNNNNNNNNNNNNNNNNNNNNNNNNNNNNNNNNNNNNNNNNNNNNNNNNNNNNNNNNNNNNNNNNNNNNNNNNNNNNNNNNNNNNNNNNNNNNNNNNNNNNNNNNNNNNNNNNNNNNNNNNNNNNNNNNNNNNNNNNNNNNNNNNNNNNNNNNNNNNNNNNNNNNNGACGUAAAACUGUGUUUUAGACGUAAACUACUUUUAAACGUAAAACUACGUUUAGACGUAAAACUGCGUUUAGACGUAAACUGCGUUUAGACGUAAAACUACGUUUAGACGUAAAACUGCGUUUAGACGCAAACUGCGUUUAGACGUAAAACUACGUUUAGACGUAAAACUGUGUUUAGACGUAAAUCUGCGUUUAGACACAAACUGCACUGCGCUCAGACGCAAUCUGAUCUUAGACGUAAACUGCGCUCAGACGCAAACUGCGCUUAAACGCAAUCUGCGCUUAGACGCAAACUGCGCUUAGACGCAAUCUGAGUUUAGACGUAAACAGCGCUUAGACGCAAACUGCGCUUAAACGCAAUCUGAGCUUAGACGCAAACUGCGCUUAGAUGCAAACUGCGCUUAGACGCAAUCUGCAUUUGGACGCAAACUGCAAACUGCAUAAAUUGCGCUUAGACGCAAACUGUGUUUAGACAUAAACUACACUUAAUCAUAAGUAAUCUUAGAAUUGGCUUUUGCAUUAAAAUAGUUUUUAUCGAACGAACGCAGCUUUCGUUUUUAAUCGCUGAAAGAUUUCCGCUGCACUAAUUCACCCCCCCCCUCUUAGUGCUCUCGAUCCUAACACUUGGGUCUUGGCGGGAACUCUAGUGUUGGCAGGAACUUCAGUGCUAGCAGGAGCUUGGGUCUUCAUGGGAUUUCAUUAUUUUGAUGAGUUAUAAUGGCGUGUUGAGCUGUCCCCUUUCUCGGGAAGCAAAGGGUCGCAGUGGGUGGCUGGUUUUUAUUUAUAAACCCCAUGCUGGCUUUUUCUGCUCAUUUGCUUUGUGCUUUCCUCGUUCUUGGCUCUUCCUCCCUCAGUUGUCUAGUAGUCCAGGUUGGUCAGGAUGUCUUUUUCUUCUUCUUCGUCCGAUCAAUCAGCGCCUAAGGCAGUUGCAUCGACCUCGGGUGGCCCUGGUGUAGGUAGUUCGUCAUUGGGUGGGGCGUCCUUAGUAAAUAAGAAUGCCGCUUAGGCCCUUCAAGUUUUGAAGUCUUUGCAUGAUUUUGAAUUGAUCAUGACUGAGCAAUUGCUCGGUCGCGUUCUAGAGCGUUACAAUAUCUCGGUCGACUACGAGCUGCACGCUCCUCAGCCCUGGCAACGUGCUUAUGACCCAUUGGUGUGCUCGAGGCGGGACUCCGGUUCCCUUUGCACCCGUUGAUCGAAGCUUACCUCUCAUGGUGGCGAAUCUUGUCAUCAUAGAUGGCACCUAAUUCAUGGUGGUAUCCGAUAGCUUUCCUAGGGGACUACCAAGGUGCGGGUAUAACCCCGACCCGUUCCCUUUUCUCUUCGUGUUUUCAUCUCUCCAAAGGGGUAGGCAAUUACCACUUGUCAUCUCGGAGUGGUUUUAAAGUGAGGCGGGUACCAUCUAAUAAAAAGGGUGAAAGAGCCAUUAUUUCUUCAUUAGCUGGGAUCGAGGAUGGGGGUUCGGUCUAGAGUGGUCAUCUCGGUCCAUUAACAAUACCCCCUCGAGUUUGUCUAAUGAAGAGUUCAAGUAGCCUGGGCGCUUGAAGGAGAUCAUUUCUUCUUCUUGGGCGAUUAGGAACAUGACCGAGGAGUGGUCGGUCGAGACGGGUCUCAAUUCGGCUCCUUGAGGUAUGGCCUGAGUCACAUCGCUCAGCCAGUCAUGUCCCCGAGUAACUUUGCUCGGCCAAACCAGCACCCAAGUUACGUCGCUCGGCCAAUCCGAAGCUCGAUGCCCGAGUAGUAAAGCUCGGCCAGUUGUGUGCCCGAGUGGUGUUGCUCAGCCAAAUCAAUGCCGAGUAGUGAAACUUAGCCAGUCAUGUGCAAGUAGUGUUACUCAGCUAGUACAACUCCCGAGUAAGAAGCCCCUAGACAACCAGUGACCAAGCCACCAAAUCCCAACACUACGGCCAACACAAUCGGUAUAAGGUAGCAAGCCAUGCCCCAACCCCUCUACGAGGAACCUGAGGCAUGCCUCUUGAGAGAGAGAGAGGAGAGAGAGAAUGAUAUUGUAUAUUUUGGGUACCACCCAUGUGGCAACAAUCGGCAACCACCAACGAGGAAGGUCAAGGUUGAUGCGGUACGCUGCAUCACCAUGCUAUUCGUACUCGGACAAGACUACCACUUGCUCUAUGCUAUCUAACGCCGUAUGAGACGCCACCACAUAGCACAAAGCUGCUCCGAAAAGCUUAGAAUGAUAUCGAGCGAUACGGAUCUGUGAGGUCGAUUAUCACUCUUACAGGAAGUACAAGUCGACUGCCGAAGGAGUUGAUCGCCAUUAACAGAUCAAUACGAUCGACUCUCAUUUGCAGGUAUAAAAGUUGACCCCUUGAUUGACACCAGGGGGAUAAUUCGAACACUUCAACUCCGCUUAACCCCACAUAAUACUGACUUGACAUUUUAAGAGACCGAGUCAGAAAACCUCCCUCGAGGCUCUAGCCUUUGUGUAAGAACGUAGUGGAGAAGCAACAACCCACCAAGGAAAAUAUCACACUCGGGCGAUGGAGCUUUGACCUAACACAGCUCGAUGUUGACCUAUUCGGCUCAAGCCUCUAUGUGGGUGACUAUGCCUCGAUGUUGACACUUCCACCGAGUAAAUUUGCCCAACACAUCCCAAUACAAGGUAAAUCAAUUCUCUCUCUAAGUAUAAGUUGUGACAAGCGCAUCGAGGUUUUAAUUUUUAUAUGACAACAAGGGUUAAUCAACGUUCAUAUAGUGUAUGAUGAUGAUAAUAAUAAUAAUAAUAAUAUUAUUAUUAUUAUUAUUAUUAUUAUUAAUGGAUGAUUUAAACGUUUACACUGCACCCGAGAAGUUUGUUUCGUUUUGCAUAAUGACGAUUAUUGCAUCCAAAUUCGUAAUAAAAGCAAGCUGCCGUCGCCCGUCAUGGAAGAAGGGAUCCGCUAAUGUUUCUUGGAACUUCUUUUUUUUUUUUUUUUCAAAAAAAAGAAAAAGAAAAGGGGCUGCCGUUUAUGCCCAAACAGCAGUCGGUGAGGGUAAACCCCCAUCCUCAAAAUCGCUUGCUUCCUGUUAAGACAGACACCACAUGAACAUUUUUACUAGUAUUAAUCUUAACGAUGCUAUUCGAUUUUACUAAAUAUUGAUCAAAAUAAAACUCCAACUCGAUUUACAUCACAUGUGGCUGCAUAUAUAUGCUCUCGACGUAAUCCCACUCCAAUUAAUUACUAUGCAUAUUAUUAUUAUUAUUAUUAUUAUUAUUAUUAUUUAACGAAAGAUAAAUGAUUGCUUGCUGCAAUUUGGUCGCGCGUAUUUUUUUUUUUUUUGUCCCAUUGAACGUCGUAUUAGUUACAGCCUUAUGACUGCAAUUUGAUCGCGCUAAUUGGGUUUUGUGUUGGUUUGCGUGGACCCCAAGCAACCACCGGCCUUUAUAAAGCGGCCGAACCUCCUUUUCGUCGCCAUUCGAUCGGCGACGGGAAACCCGCCCUCGCUAGCACCCAGGAGCCGGAAAAUGCUGACGAUUAGAUCCCUUCCCACGGGAGCCGCUGGAGAAGAAAGGUAACAGUAGCCGUAUAAUUUUCUUUUUUUGCUUCAUUUGCCGAUCGAUACGCCUCUACUGGAUCCGAUCCAAAAUCUUGAUAUAUCAAGAUCUUGCAUAUUCUUUUCUCUUAUUCUUUCUCUGAUUCUGUUGAUCCUACUAUUUGUGGGUGACGUCUCGUGAAUUCUAUGUAAGGUUGAGCCAUUCCCCCUCCUUAGAAGCAAUAGAUCGAUCGACGUUUUAAACGAUUCAUUCGAUUCCAUGGAAUUUCUUUUAUCGAUCAUGGGUUUCUCUCUGGAUCUACAAAAAUGCAUUUGUUCUGUCUCCGAUGAAUCAAGGUAUUCGACUAUGUCCUCUCGGAUGUGUCUGGGUGAUGAUGAUGCGCUGCUUAACGAAGGUGUGGAAACGCCUUAUGGUUCGACCCGACUUAUGAGUUACAUAUCUUGACUAACAAUAGCUUCCUGUUCUUGUCUUAUCUGUGUUAAGGUCGGAGAAGCUGAAUUCUCCGUGGGUUCUCGUUUGUUGCCAUGUCUGUCCCUCGGAAAAUCCUGACAUUCUUCCAUUCAGUUGGGAAACCUGUUUUAUGCAUCUUCUUAUUUCUUUCUCUCUCUCUGCUCGUGCUCAUGCUUUGCAACAUUUCAUCUACGUGAGUUCAUCUGCAAAUGCAUUGUUCCUUACUCUGAUCUGAUCUUAGCUAUAUUUAUAUUUAUCUGUUAUGUUGUAAUGUUUUUCAAACACAUCUCAUGUAUGUCUUCACAAAGUAGUUCGUCACUGAGAUUAGGAUUGACCGAGUGAAGGAAGGCAUCACUUAUCUAACGUCUUGACCAACAAUGAGUGUGAUGUCUUUGUAUUUUGCCCUUUGCUAGUAGAUUUCACUAUUCCAGUACUUACAUCUAAUAAAUCCCCACAACUUCGAGAUACCUUGAUGUGUAUAGCCACCAUGGGGAUAACUAGUUUUGGUGGGAAAAUCUAGAGAAUAACCUAGACAUUAUCGUAAUUUUUUCUUAUAUUACCUGGGAUGUUCUUUUUUAUCUUUUUAACUCAUGGCAUACUGUAAUUGGUUUCAGAACCCCGAGAGAGGAAUGGGAUUGGUUAGAUGUUAUCAAGUCUAUGAAAUUUGCGGAAGUCAGAGACGAUCUAAAUCAUUGCAUUGCUUGAUAUGCUGGAAAUUAUUUGCAACCAAACAUAAAGUUUCUUGAUAAGAGAUCAUUAGUUCAUCUUUAUCAAAUUGUGAGACCUUUUUUUUUUUGUUGUUAGAGGUAUUUCACUUAUAAAAUAAUUCUAUGGAUCAGCACUACAAAGUUAAAUAAAAUGUUCUUAUUCUUGUUUGAAGCUACCAUAGCUUCCCAUAUAUUAAUACAAAAUCAGCAUUUAUAUAGCUUCUAAACGAUGAAAAAAUUUUGGUUCUACUGUAUCCAAAAGUGUGAAUAUAUGACUUGGUGCAUUCAGAUUUCUGUCGUAUUCAGCGGUAUUGCUCAUCUGUUUUGUAUGUCAGGUUCGUGUACAUAUGAAAUUUUUUAGGAUUUUAUUUGGUGUCCUCUAACCACAAAUAGAACUAUAGUUUUAGAAAGUAACUUCGAGUUGGGGAAAACCCAAAUAGAACUAUAUUUGGAUGGAUGACUUCUUAGAAUAUUUUAAUGUUAAGUUCAACUUAUUUUGACAUAAUAAAAUAGGAAAAUUCUGUUCUGAGUUUGUAUGUCUCAGUGUACAUGUUUAUUUUCCCCACUGCUGCCACAAAUGACAUCAGAAUUUCAUAUCUGGCACUGAUUUAUUCCUUUCUAAUGCUUUUCAUUCUUUCUCCUUCACUUGAACUUAAUCUCUUACAUUUCAAGACCACUUGUCCUGACCUUGAAGAUGUAGCUGAAUAUCAAAAAGCUACAUGUUUUAGAGACAUAUUUUGUUUGGCUAUGUGAGUUCAAGAAUACAAUUGGUGGAAACAUUGCUACCAUUGAUGAGUAACAUCAUACCACAAUUUAUCCAUAACAAUUCUAUAUAUUUCUUAUCUUAGUUCACUUGCAUGUGUUGUUUAAAUUUUUAUUUGUUGCACCAUUACCUACCUUUGUUAGAUGCUUUUCUAAGAGAACCUGGAGCAUGAAACGGUGCAUUUAUAGGAUGUAAAUGAUUGACAACAUAGGUAACUAGAGCAGAACUGGAAUCAGACUGUCCGGCUAGUGGUAUGAUUUAGAUCGAUUGAACAGUCUGAUUGGGUUGGUCAUAUGGGAACCAAUACAUAAAAUAAAUCUAAAUUCAAAACUAGAAUUUUAAUCAGGCCAGUAAAUAUAAUAAUAUAGUUGCAGUAAAUUAUAAUGUGCUUAAUCUGAAAAUAUACAUUUAGUUUGUUUAUUUAAGUCGGACUAGAAUACUAUGUGAUCGAACAGCUUAAAAGCUUCACUUCCAAUCAUGUCUUAGUUCUUCCAAUCCACUCUGAUUACACAAGUCGGCUCAUACUAAGAUAUUUAAUUUAUAUGAUUUGAUUUAUUAAUUCUGACUAGGUUAGCGUUAGUUGACCGCUUAGUAUUCCAUCAUACUGAUUAGAUAUAGAGGGCAAGGAGGAGAGGACGAGAAGAGGAUUGAAGGAGGUGGUGGCAGCAACGGAGGAGUACCGAUUUUUAACAUGGGAUCUAAAUUGCAUGGGAUCUUAACAUAUAGGUGUGUAAGUUUGUUAACGAUAUGAUAUUUUUAGAUAAUAAGAUCCAACUAAAUUGUUAUAUAUACAAUACAAAUCCUGUUGGUUCUUAUGGGUUUUUCAUUAUUUUGUCACCUUUUAGGAUAAGAUAUUAAUCGUACUAGACCUACACGUCGAAACUUCUAUCUUUAAAAUAAUGCUCUAAAUUUUGACAAAGGUGGAUGUCGUGUUUGUAAUCUUAAAAAAAGUUGGAUAUUAUGUGGAUAGAGUAUGACAUCUGUUGUGUUGACCCUUCGACUGGAAUGAUUUUUUUUUGUCUCCCAGAUGUAGUAAUCGAUCGCUAUCUGUUCAAUUGGCAAAAAGUGUCAUUAUAAUUGUUCUCGUAAUCAAAGAUUCAUUGCACUUUGUAUUUACCAAACAGCUGCUUAAAUAUUUAAAUUGUGUCCUACCAAGCUCGAGAUAACUAGCUGCAGUAUGCACCAUGUUUACAAGGGAGACGGAAGAAGCAGUAGUCACUUCUCUUUCUAAGAUUAGAUCGCUAAAACUGCAACAGCAAGCUACUUAUUUGUUUUUGUACGGGUUGAAUUGUUUAUCAAAAUUGUACUUUCUUCAGGUUGAAUCAGACCUCUUUGAGAACGAAUAAUUGCAAAGGAGAGCUGGCUUCAUUAGGGUAAAUAACUGCCAAUAAUAGGUUCGGCGCUUAAUUCCUCUUAUUUAUUUGGAUGCAUUAUUCAGUAUAUCAUUUUUUUUUUUUAUGGUUCUGCUUGCUUGAGGGCUAUCACACCUUAAAAAAAAAUAUAAGAACAACGCUUAACUCAUGGGGCACUCGAAAACUUAUUUUAUAUUCGUUUGUUUGGUUUUUCCGGCGAUUCUUCUUCUUAUUCUUCUGUUUUUUUUUUUAUCGUCCCGAAAAAACAAAUGAUCCAUCUUGGAACUGCUUCGCGAAAAUGAAAAUGAUAUUUUACUUGGACUGGAUCACCUCGGUUAACAUUUUGGUGUGGUGCGUACCUGGCAUCCACGAGUCGGUGUGGGAGGCGACAUCGCAGUCCGCUACAUCACCUGACGCCUGAGGUGUCAUUUUGUCCACUAAUUAGCAGUAAUCAUCGCCCUGAAAAUUUACAGGGGUGAUUCGGUACACCUGUAGCGGUACUUUUGUAGCUAUCAAAGAGCCUCGUUAGUUCUACUGUCAAAUUUCCAUGUCAUCCGUGUGUCCCUCGAUUGAGUGCUGAUGCAGUCGUAUGAAUGGAGCCGGUGGACAACGUCUUAUCCGUUUCUUUUAAGAACUACCCACGUGAGAUGUAAUUUAGACAAGGAAACCUGACCACUUGCGUUAUUUUUCUAGUGUUCUAUUUGUUAACCAUCUUAGAAAAUUUUGCUUGGCUGCGCAUUCCAAG